rnacentral:lncRNA from 1 species
UGGGUUUGCUGGUGGAACUGGAAGGGCUUGAUGCAGCAGAUGCCAUUCUGCAAUAGAGAAAAAUUUAGAGAGCAGUACUAGUUAAAAUUGGAUGCAGAAGAUACACAUGAAACUAGUAUUUAUACAAGUCUAUACAAUUAAAAUCUAAGGAGACUUAUCAUCGUUUUCAUGUGUUGUGAAUUAAAAUAAUGAAGGAUACACUGUUAGGUGAAAAUUCAAGAAACAAAAUUUUGCAUAGAGAUAAAGGUCCAACAUUAUUACAAGUUAAGGUAGUUUUAAAUAUCCUUGUAAUCUUCCUUUGGUUUCCUCAACGAUUCGAAGACAAUAACCUUGCUUCUAUCAAUGAUAAUUAUAAGGAGAAUCCAGUGGAAACUGUGUAUUCGUAUUAGAACUACCUAAGGUUAAUUAGGUUAGGAAAGGAAAUUGAAAAUAGAUGGUACCCACACUUACUUAAAGUUGUCGGGCAAUAGUAUGUAAUGCUUGUAAUUCCGUUGCUCCAAGAAUUUGUAUAUGUGGUCCAAUGUAGACUUUGGUUGAUCCCGUAUCUGCUGUUGGUUAAAUAAGUGUUUCUAGCCAUUUCUAGCCAUUAGAACCGGGACUAAAGGGGGCUCUUUAGUACGGGUUGAUAUUACUAACCGGGAUUAAAGAGCCCCCAUUAGAGUUGGUUUUUGGAUGCGGAACUAACAACUCCUUUAGUCCUGAGUACGAAAACAACUGACAUAUUUGUUGCUGGAUGGAAGGUCCUUUCUCUACCGUGAAUAUUGCCAGAAAGAAUUGAAAGAGACUGCUUGCUAAAAAUAUGUCAUAGAUGUAGACCAAGCUACCAAGGAGGUAGACCAAACAUGAUACACACCAUGCGUACCUUGCUGUGCAGACUAUGCAUUGACAAGAUACCCGACCACAUGUUGGCCUCGGUCACAUCAAAAGAAUCAUGUAGGCCACCAAUAAACUACUUGAAGCGGCAUUCCGUAUCGUAUAUGCAUUGCCGGUUCAUCUGCAUUACAUUACAUAAAGCACUAUUAACUAUUUGAAUAAAAUGAACCAAUUUAAAAGUAAUGUGUUGUACUCUACUAUAGAAAGCCCUAUCACUGCCGGAUCCAAAAACAUCAUUGUUAAUGGUGGUUAAGUACCAAAUAUGACGGUCAAUAUUCUCAAGAAUAAUGGAGAAUUAGCAUUUCUUAGACACAUAUUUGGUUUUGAACAAUGUAGUUCCACAUGUCUUUGGAGAUUAUUUGGGUGUGGGUGAAAUAAUACAAAAAUAAGGAGAAAACACACUCCCAUGGCGAAGAAACACAACUCCAACCAAUGAGAGAUAGCCACAGGGGCAGCACACGGAUCCAUGGGCCCACUAACCGCAUCAAACCAUCUUACCAAGGCAGGUAGCACCCACAACCGUCAUUAGGACCCACCUGGAAGUCUACCAAGAAGAAGGUUGCGAGUGGGGCCAGGAGGGGUUCGGUUGAAUCAUCUCUAGCUAGCUCCCCUCAUCCCCAGCUGGUGGGUGGUGGUGGUUGAUGGUGUCCCUACAUCAGUUAGAGGAGAUUCCCCCAAAUAUUCCUCCUGUAAACCACCUCUAUGGACCUAUACAUAGAGGGGUGUGCUCUCCAUUCCAACACACACCACAAGUUGAAUCACUCUCUCCCUCUUUAGUUUCCAAGUUUAUGGAGUUAGGCUAGAGUAGCUCUGCUCAAGGUUCCAAGUCCACUUGGAGUUAAGCAUAUGUCUCUUGUAUCGUUAUUUCCUAAAUUGACUUUAUGCUUAGUUCUUAUAUGCAUGAGUUAGUCUAAUACCCUUGCUAUAUUGAUAUGCUCGGCUUAUAUGCUCGUAUGCUAGUCAUAUACCCUUGCUGUCGUAGUAUAGGCUUAUAUGCUCUCAUGUGUGCCUGUAGACCUUGCUAUAGUAUAUACUUGUUGUGCAUACAUACCAUGUAUAGGCUAGUCGAUCUAUACCAUGGCAUUGGUUCAAUAGCCAUGUUUUUGGUGGCUCCAACCCUAGUCACAAUAGCUCGGGACAGCUGGAGUGUUGUUAAAAAUGCAAGAGUGGUGCUUGGGUUGUUUAGCAUCGUUGGAUAUGGGUUUGCCCCACGGGUUUCUAACGGUAGGCGGCAGCUAGUGACAUCCCUGUCCGUCCUUCGUAAUCCCCCCACAUUCAGGUACGCCAUAAAUGUUCGUAAAUUAGCAGUAACUACGCCGGUACACCUGUAGGGUAUUGUCUCCCUGUAGUACCUUGGUGCAUAGAACUAAGUCCUAUACACUGUGUGUGUAUGUUUACGCUGAUAUGAUCUGUGCAGUAUAUAGGAUGUAUAUAUGAACCUAGAGCUAACUCCUAGUCCGUUCUCCAUAGCUUAGUUAUCUUGAGAUGAUUCUUCUGUAUGUGUAACACUACCCAUCUUAUCAUUAUCCUUGAUCCUGUCUUGUGUAAUAUAUCUACUCAUCCUAUGAUAUACUCAUAUGCAUAGUAAACUAUUUUGACCUACCCGCCUUCCUUUGGGAAAUAUGAUACCUUGGAAUAAUCCUAGGUGAAAUCCUACAACGGUAUAUCCAUGUAAAUGCGGAUUUAUUCAUGACCAUUAAAUAUACCAACAAUCAUCACUGUGAGUUUUGGGCGUCGUUAGUGAAGGGUUGGUAGUGAUGGGCAUCCCCUUCACCAAUGGACCUGGAACCGGCGGUGAUGGCUAUUAUAAAAAAGGGGACACCACCCAGCGUACCCCACGACCCGGCCGGCCGCACCUCCCAUCAUCCCCGCCAGCCGCCCUUCCUUUUCGCCGGCCGAGCAUGGUCCCGGCCUUUGUCCCUACCACCUCGCCUCCACCGCGACCCCCCGCCGAUGCCCUCGUGCCUGGCCCCCCUCAUCUUGCCGGCCACCCUCCCGAUGCGUCCACUGGGGCCCUCGCACCACCAACCGCCCUUGCUUAGAGAGGGAGAGAGAGGAGGGAGGUGAGGCCACGCACCUCGUCCUACACCGCCGCUGUUUCUCCUCGGCCCACCGCGCCUCACCCCACACCACAGCCGCGCCUUGCCAUCUUACCGGCUGUGACGCCUCAUCUCACCGGCCACCGUUCCUCACCCCCACUUCGGUCGUCGCCGCUCCUUGCCCUACCGCUGCUCUUUGCCGCUGCGAAUGAGCGCCGAGUGGAGGAGGAGGGAUGGGGCAGGAGGAGGGCAAGAUCCGGGAGGAAGGGAGAGAUCUCGGGAGGUGGAGAUGGAAGGAUAUGGCGGAAGGGAGAGAUCCAGAGGGAGAGAGCAGGGGAGAGAGGGGGGCGUGUGGGGAGAGAGCGCGUGUGGGGUGGGGCCGGGCUGGUGGGAUGGAAGGGAGAGGGGCUAGACGGGCGCAGUGCAUUCAACUGGAUGAAGUAAAUAUUUUGGAUUCGAGACCCCAGCUUUAUUAUCACCGCUGGUCCGUAGUACCAUCCGGUGCCUGCUCGUAAUUUAAUUUGAAUCUGCGGUGAUGUUUUAUUAUCACCAUCGGAUCAUAUAAAAAUCCGGCGGUUAAAAAUCCGCUGGUUUCGAUGAAAACCGACGGUGAUAGGAUGACUGUGAUAGUCUCUUCUCUAGUAGUGGUAUAUUAGUACCGGCUGCCGGAUGGUGUUGCCGACCAGUACUUCUCCGGGGGCGAUUCAGUACUGCUGUUAGCAAAGCUUGUUCUCUAUGAAUUUGGGGAUGGAAAGCUAGUUCUCUAGUUGUGAUUUGUUACAUAUAUAUCUAUGAUAGUCUAGAAAUUGCAUGUCCUUCGUUGACAUAGUUGAAGCUGCUUCAAGAAUUUACUUCGUGCAGUCGUGCAGCAUAUUGGAUUAUCACCUAGACAGGAUACAUAGGUGAAGCAUUGGAUGUGAUUGUGGCCGAUAAUUAUGCAGGACGCUGUUGCAAUCAACCACCAAGAAGUCUGGAGUGAUGGGGUUGCCUCAUCAAUAAUUUUUAUAUAUGGCUGCAGUAUUAUUAAGCCCACGUCAAUAAUUUUUUGUCCGCACCAUAUAUCGAUGGGGUUGCCUCAUCAAUAAUUCGCGCAACCAGACAAGCUGCAGACUCAAUAUGGUACGAAGCUAGUUGCUCAGCCCACAUGCUCUGAUAUAACAUUGACAUCUGCUGAUCUACAGUAUAUAUGACCAGAAAUAUUGUGCCCACCUCAAUAACUUUCUGAAGUAUCGUGGGGAAGAACCUACGCGUACUAUGCCUCGGAACUAACUGACAUAUCGGCCCAGGCGGUCUAGGCCGAUUGGACUGGCUCUUCCUUGUGGCUUCUCACAUCCCCUUCGUCCCCAAGUAAUUUCAGGUGUUCUGUAGUUUUCUUUUCACUUGCAUCUGAGCCUCCUAUAUCAAUAGCUUCGGGAUAAGAAUGCCUCUUGAUAACCUUCCAAAUCCUCGCUUGAUUCACAUUGAUUCCGAAAUCAUCUUGCCAUAUCUUCAGAGACUUAGGUCCUAAGGCAUCAUGGAGGAUUGCUCGCCAAGAAUGAGCACCAUUGGGCUCCUGAGGACCCUAGGCCGAUCAGCCCGGGCUCUAUAGGUCGAUUGGCCCAGGCCCUCUCUGGGCCUGUUGGCCUUCAUCUUUCUUUGAGUCGACGCUUAUUCAGGGCUUUGUCCAAUUAUAGUCCAUUAUAGUCUAAUUUCCUAAAAAACAGAAUGUCCUCCAAAAUACAAUGCAUAUGUGAAAACAACCCAAUUAUUAGGUAUGAUCAAUAGUUUAGGUAUUAAAUUAAUAUUAUUAUUUAAGAUAAACAGGGGUAAAGGGUGUCAUUAAUAACAAGCGCCAACAAGCGUCCUAGCUGUUCAAUAAAUUUUUUCUAGUACCGAUUGGUAACACUAACCGGUGCUAAUAUGUACCCUUUAUUACCGGUUAUUUUACCAGGUACUAAAGGAGACAAGAGCAUCCUAACAUAAGGUUAAUAUCAUCCAUUUCAUGAGUAAAAUACUAUGAUUCAAAAAUAAUUCAAAUCCCUUAAGACAAUACCUAUCAAAUGAGUAAAUUGUAAAUAGAGUAAUCUUGAUCAAACAAUGUCCUAAUGAAACGGAACACUUCUGGUUCGUGUAGAGCACAAUAUAGAAAACAGUAGGGUAGCUGUAUGAUUGACACGUGGUCCAUUAAUUAUUGAGCCAACACUAUGGACAUGUCUUCAUGAGUAGUGUACUAGUCAUAAUACAUGGUAUGCAGUAGGUGGAGGUAUUGACUUAGCCAUGCUAUGAGCACUUAGUUACAACAAACACUUUGCCAUUAUCGAGCAUCCCAAAUCACUACAAAAUCCAUAGUUUACCAUAUACUACAAAAUCUGAGUUAAAAUAAGAGCAUACACGGAAGAGUCCGAAUGCACGGCACAUUGAAUUACUAGACAAAAUUUAUGGGACAAGGUUUUGGGUAACCGCAUGAAAAAUAUUGGAUUUUACUGAACACUUAGUUACAAUUACCAUGCCCGUGAGCACUUAGUCACCACAAACAUUUAACCACUUUAGAUCAUCCUGAAUCCCUAUAAAUUCUAUACCUUACACCGUACCAUGAAAACGACAAGAACAGAGACAGAUGCGGUGAAAAUCUCCAGAGCAAGCCUGAAAUUAAAAUAAGAGGAGGCAGUCACUAUCGACAGGACACGGAGAUUGCUAGCCAUGACAGAGGAAGACAUGAUAUGAUAUUCACCUCUGAAAUGCAGCGUAGACUAAAUGAAGCACAAUUGCAAGUGAGUGUGGCAGAUAAUGGACCAUCGAGACCAUCGAAUGGUAUGAAGCAUGAUUAUCACCUAGACAUGAUAUCCUAGACAGGACGGUGAAUUGUAAAAAGAGUAAUCUUGAUCAAAGAAUGUCCUAAUGAAACGGAACAUUUUUGGUACGUGUAGAGCAAAAUAUAGAAAACAGUAGAGUAGUUGUACGAUUGAAACUGCAUCCAUCGACGUGGUGCAUGAAUUGUUGAGCCAACACUGUGGACAUGUCUUCAUGAACACCAUCUAGUGAGGACAGCAUGCAGAAAAAUAUAAAAACAUGUCAUAGGGAGGCAGACCAAUCUUGCGAGGUAGACGAAACGUGAUACACGAUCUGCCUACCUUGUCGUGUGGAUACCCCAAGUGAAGAUGUCAUAGAGGUGCAGACCAAGCUAGCAAGGAGGUAGAUGAAACGUGAUACACGGCCUGCCUACCUUGCCGUGGAUAUUAGUCCUGAUAUCAUUCUAUUGUUCAAGGAAUAACACUCAAUGCUGCUGCUGCUGCUGACCUGGCUCCAUAAAGUUAUAUUCCUCUAGCCGCUUGCACUAACUUUAUCUGAAGUAUUAUUCUCUCUGCACUGUAUAUAUGGUUACGGAGUUUGCUGGAGUAUCCGGGGGGAAGAACCUACAUAAUAUGUCUUGGAACUAACUGACAUUGAUUCACAGACAAGGUGCUGUUGUUGACAUGGUACAGUAAAUAAUAUAGUUUACCAUAUACCGUAUACCAUUAUAUGUUAGCUAAAAUAAGAGCAUAACAUGUCGCAGGAGUCCAAAAGCACCGGUUGAGGACCAGGUACAUUAAAUUACUAGAAAACAAAAGGGGACAAGGUUUAGGUAGCCACAUGAAAAACAUUUGAAUUUACUGUACCAUGAACACUUAGUUACCAUGCCGGGAGCACCUAGUUAACACUAACAUUUAGCCACUUUAGAUCAUCCCGAAACACCAAUGACCCUCAAUAGCGACAAAUUUUGGUUUAAAUGCCGUCACCAAUGAUCCUCAAUAGUGACGUGUUUAGGUUUAAAUCCCAUCACUAAUAACCCUUGGUAGUGACGUGUUUUGGUUUAAAUCUCAUCACCACUGAUCCUCACUAGUGACGUGUUUUUAGCAACACACGUUAUGAAUGACUUGUCAUUGGUGACAUGUUAAACGCGUUAUCUCAAUGGCAAAUCAAUGGUGACGUGUUUAAAAAAACAUGUCACUGUGAGAGUUAUUGGUGAAGGGUAAUUAAAAUGCAUCACUAAUUUUGUAGCAUUAGUUAUGAUAUAAUUUUGUAACGCAAAAAUCUACCAUAGUAAUGAGGUUUAGAGCCAUCACUAAUGUGGGUUUCUUAUCGUAGUGAUGCAAGCUCUACAAGGUGCUGUUGUUGCCAUUUUAAAGCAUCCCAAAUGACUACAAGAGUCCGGUUGAGGACUAAACAAAUUGAAUUACUAGAACCAAAUGUAUGUCCAGAACAAAGAAAGGGGUCAAGGUUUGGGUAACCGCAUUAAAAACAUUGAAUUUUACUGUACCAUGAACACUUAGUUACCAUUACCAUGCCUUGAGCACCUAGUUACCACAAACAUUAAUUUAGCCACUUUAGAGGUUCCACAAUCACUAUAAAUAAUAUACCAACACCGUACCAUGAAAACAUCAAGAAGAGAGACGGGUACAUGGACCACCAUCAAGUGAGUAGUGACAGCACGCACAAGAAUACCCGGAACCUUUUAGCUUGUCUGUAGUGAUCUGUUUUCUUCGCCACAAAUAAUGAAAGAGGCUGACCAAGCUAGCAACGAGGUAGAGCAAACGUGAUACACGUAGGUUUCAUUCAAGACAUCCAUGUAAGAUUCAUUCAAAACAUUCAUGGAAAUUUCUUGUAAGUUUUCAUGUAAAUUUCAUUCAAGACAUUUGUUAGAGGUGUUGUAUAUACACUUAACGUACAUAUAUCUAUGAUUUCAUGGUUGUUAGUGAUGGCAGAUGAGGAGCAUGCAAGGUGUUUAAUGGAGCAGAUUAUUGCUAGUGGUAGUGGCUCCAACCUGCCCGUAACGUACACCGACGAAGAGGGCAGCCAGGCGGACAUGUUCCUCAACAUGUCCGGUGAUGGCAAUGAAGAGCCCGAGCAAAACCUUGCCGUGACGGAAGGUUCCAUCGAGGUAUAUAUCAUUUCCAUUAUUUUACCCCAUCUAUAAUUUCAUAUUCAUUAUUACUAUGUGCUAAUUAAUGAAUCUUGAACCGUUAGUCCUCUAGAUCAACGAACCGAAAUAAGCCCCGAGGUCUUACAAAGAUAAUGCAGGGAAGGCUUCACAUCAUGGAAGUCACAGAAGAGGGCACAUCGGUUGCUCCCGAACAUGUGGCAAGAAAGUACGUGAGUCAAACCGGGGCAAUCGUAAGGGACAACAUGCCCAUCAGCAUCAGGGAAUGAAAGAGCAAUAGAAAUGAUCUAUACGCACCCCCGGAUACACAAAAGGAUAUGUUGUGGGCAAAUAUCAAGAAACACUUCACAUUUCCCAAAGGAUAUGUUGAAAAAUAUGUGAAAGCGUGGAUGUUGAAGAAGAUGGCCACCCAAUUCCAGACAUUCAAGAAGAUGUUGGAUGCCAACUUCAUCAAGAAGGGUCGAACUCCGGGUUUCAAUGAGUGGCCAAAGUUAAGGGACCACUGGGAGUCGUUUGUCGAAUACAAGACGAGCGAAGGUGGUGCGAGUAAGGUUCACAUCAAUGUUGCCAAUGCUAGCAAGGAGUACCAUCAUCAUCUAGGGCGACGUGGUUACAGCUCUGCAAUUCCCAGAUGGCGCAAGAUGGAACAAGACCUGAUCGAUCGGGGUAUCGUACCAGCAACUCUUGACUGGAUCGAUUGAAAAAUUGGUAUUAUGCUCAUGAAGGCAAUCUGAGCCAAGAGGAUCCGACAUUGGUCUUCAAUAAAACAAUACGUCAGAAGGUCGGAAGGCUUAUUAGGAACAUUGAAGAUGCUAAAGCUGGGAGGUUCAAGGUGGAUAGAGAGAAUGAUGAACUCACAUUGGCCCUCGGGACUGUCAUCUCUAGCACUUCCAGCUCCAGGACUAUCGUCACCACCGGGACCGUCGCUUCCUGCUCGAUCACAGUCUCCAUCUCCAGCACAUCCUGGUGGUGCGAGCGACGACGACAACAACACCCCUCCCUGCCCACCAUUGCCGGGACUAAGACCCGCAUUGAGUAAGGAACCUGCAACACCACUGAAGAAGUCGCGACCACCACCUUCAAGGCAAGUCAGCAAAAGAAGAAAGCAGAGAAGCCUAAACCCACUGAGAAGCCAGCGACUGAUAUGACCGAUGCGGAAAGAUGGAAGGCACUCAAAGAAGAAUGCAGGGAGUGGUUCAGCGAAGGCGAAGGUGAGAAAGUCGUAUGAAUCGAAUUCAAGGAUAUAUAUGAAGUGAACCAUCAGGAUGCCCUUGAUGUCUCUCUCAUCAGCGCCUAGGUUCUGUAAGUGUAUGUUUAUCUAUAAGUAAAUUUUGGCUCAUAUCAUUAUUUUUUUUGCGUGCGUCACCCUACUAACUUCGUCUUCCAUUUUAUGUAGGAUGCUAAUUCAGACGUGCCGCAUAGAAGCGUACUUCCAUGUUGGAUUCAUGGAUCCAUCCCUAGUUAACCAAAAGCCGAUACGGAAGUAGCUAGAGAAAACGUUGGAGGUGGUGUACAACCUCCUGGACAAACUAAACUACAGAAUAGGGGCAAUAUGUGAGGGUCUUGUAGGAUUCCUAGUGGACGAGGUGAUAAAUCCAUAAGGAGAAUAUCAUUCCAACGGACGAGCAUUAGACACACUGAGCAACACCUAGAUGGGAGGAUCCUAGGAAUGACCUCGACAGAUUUUGGUAUAAAUAGUAAUUGUGUAAAUACUAGUUUGAUUUGUAUAGGAAUAUACUAAGAAUUGUAUAUAUAGUAAUUGUACAAAUACUAGUUUGAUUUGUAUGAAUACUAGAUUGAUUUUAUUAUAAAAAAGUUUUAAGUCGUACGUGCAUGCGCCUACAAAGGCGCGGAUGCCUUUUAAUCCCAGUCGGAAAAACAAACUGGUACUAAAGGGGCUCGUGCCGCACCUGGCAUGACCACCCCUUUAGUCCCGGUUGAACGACCCAGGACUAAAGAUCUCCGCGUCUCAAAAAUUUUAUCUCGGAUGCUUUUUAGAGAGAUUUGAGGCCUAUCAACCAAGACUAAUAUCGAGUUUUCUACCAGUGAAACUAACUAACGUUCACAUGGUUUUGACAUUCACCUGCCAUUUGGUGUAGACAAGGGCACCCUAACAUAUGGUUAAUAUUAUUCUUGAAAGAAAAUCCUUUGAUUCAAAAUACUUCAAACCUAAUAAUACAAUACUUCUCACAUCUGAAAAAUAUGAGACGGCCCGACAGUAUUCUAAUCGACGCAAUAAUAUUUUGAGGGCAGCACUACUACAGCGACCCUCAUUCGUGCCGGUGCUGGGACUCCUAUCACGACCCUGAUACAAAUGAGGGUACAUUAUUGGUGCCAGUGCUAGAACAGCCACGAAUAACUUGCUAAACGUGCUGUUACACUCACUACAGGGACCAAGAAGGUAGAUAAAUUACACGACAUAGCCUUGGUUGCCGUGGAAGCGCCAAGAAGGGAGACAAAUUACAGGGACCACACCAUCAAGUAGAUAGUGACAAUAUGCAAAAGAAUACCCGCGCCUGUUAGCAUGUGAACUGACCACACCACGAAACGUGAUACACGGCAAGCGUACCAAGGCCUUGCUGUGCAGACUAUGCAUGGACAACACAUGGUACCUGACCGCUUUUGGCCUCAGACACAUCGAAAAACUGCAUCGUUCCACGUUGUACAUCCAUUGCUAGUUUAUCUAUAUUACAUAAUAUAUUAUUAGCUAUUUGAAUAGAAUGAACCAAUUAAAAAAUUGCGUUGUAUUUUUAGUACCGGCUGCAGGAUGGUGUUACCAACCAGUACUAAUUGGCCUGUAGGAGUGAUGGUUAUUAGACUUGGUACUGUUGUUAGCAUCAUUAACCUAAUUGUGCGCCGUAUGAAUUUGGGGAUGCAAAGCUAGCUCUCUAUGAAUGUGAGGGAUGGAAAGCUAGUUCUCUAGUAGUAAUUAUAUAUAUGACAGUCAAGAAAUCGAACACUAUGCUGCUACGAGUCACCAUCAUUUCCUUCAUUGACAAUCUGACAUAGGUGAAGCUGCUUCAAUAAUUUCCUUCGCGCAGUCGUGGAGCUUAUUGGAUUAUCACCAGGACGGGACACGGAAAUGGCCAGCAAUGAAGCUGAUUGCCGUCUGAGGAAGACUACAUACUUACCUAUGAAAUGAAGCGAUUGCAUAGACUAAUGAAGCAUUGCAUAUUUGCAUGUGAGUGUGGCAGAUAAUUCUGCAGGACAUGAUUGCAAUCCACGCACCAUCGAGAAGACUGGGGCGAUGGGGUUGCCUCAUCAAUAAUCACGUGGAUGCAUGCAUGCAUGUUCCCGCAACCGGACAAGGGUCUGAUAUAUGGCUAUAGUAUUACUGAGCCCACAUCAAUAAUUUCCACUGGUGUAUCGUGUGGGAAGAAUCAACAUACUACACCUCGAGUUCUUGGAACUAACUGACGUUCACAUGCAACCUCCACAAGGUGCUGUAUGCUUUUGACAUUCACCUGCCAGUUCGUGUAGAGAAGGACACCCUAACGUAUAGUUAAUAUUAUCCAUUUCAUGAGUAAAAUACUGUGAUUCAAAAAUACUUCAAAUCCCUUGAGACAAUACUUCUCACUUGACUAACCACUAACCAACCCCGAAACCCUAACUCAACUCCGAACCCUAACCCCUAACGGCAUAACCACUCCGUUUUGCCGGCGAGAUGGAGGAACUGGCUGGAAGGUAGAGAGGGCAGCGGUCCAGGGUUGAAAACGACGGGCGAGCGCAGUAACAUGUGGAGGAGGAAGUGCCACGUAUUCGUUCACCGCUAUUGGGCAGCGACACACGACACGCCCAAUAAGAUCUUCGCACGGUAGAAGGACGUCAUGUAUUCAAUAAUGUUAUUGGUCCCCCAUGUGCAGAAGGGCGCGCGCGUAUGGAAUAACAAGUAGGGACACUGCAACUAAUCUACUCUGCUCGUCCAGUCCCUAGCCUAUAAAUAGAUGCCAUGCUAGCUCUUGUUGUGCUCACAAUUAAUCCGAUUACACACGAGCUUCUCUCCCUGGCCAAGACACAACCAUAGUAUGAUGAAGAACAUGGCACUAGCCGGCAAUGGUAUGAAGAAGUUAAUCCUCGCUGUUCUCUUACUGUGUCUAGUUAUAGGGCAGAUACAAGUGGAAGCUAAGAGCUGCUGCCCAUCCACCACUGCAAGAAAUGUCUACAAUACCUGCCGUUUCACGGGUACAUCCCGUCCAACGUGUGCAAAACUGUCAGGCUGCAAAAUUAUCAGCGGGAACAAAUGCAAGCCCCCUAACGACCACCUCACCCUUGACCCGGACACUGGUAAAUAAUAAAUUUAUCUCACUUGAUUUCUUCGUGAUUUGAGUCGUUAAUGUAUUUUCCAUCUGAUGAAACGUAUUGGUUUUGCAUUGAAGAGGAAGUUAAUGUGCUUAACUUCUGCAAGUUGGGGUGUGCGUCGUCUGUGUGCAACAACAUCAACGCUGGUAAGCAACUUUUGCUCAGACAGAGAAAACAAUAAUCAUUAAUUAGCGGCAGCUAGAAUCCUAUAAUCUAAUAUAUAUAUAUAUAUAUAAUUUUAUCAGCUCUGGGAAAUGAAGAGGCGAACGAUGCCGUUGAGAGUUGCGACCAAGCCUGCUCUAGCUUCUGCAGCGUGCAUGUUGGCAGCGCCACCGUGGUUGCUUAAGCAAAUGCAUCCAACUAGAUCGUCCUUGUGCUGAAUAAUUGGAUAUCGUAUCCACUUAAAGCUGCCUUGUGUAGUACGUCUUUGUGUCUCUCUUUAUAUUCCAAUAAGGUCGGUGAUCUUGAUGCCACACACUCAGAUGUGUGUUCAUCUCCAGAUACUACUCCAUGCUACCUGCCCUUUGUGUUUUGUUCAAUAACUGGGUAUCAUAUCCCAGCCAGUAUGCCGUCUGUUUUGUGUUUGUUUCCUUCUAGUUCCAAAGGGGUCAUCAUGAUGUUACCUUCUUUCAAUAUGGUGCUUUGCAUGACUACUGUUGUAUGGUACCAUCUUGUGGCCAAUAAGUACAUCUUAUCCUAUGACCUUUGCUAUGACCCUUUGCAAAUAAGUAGAAGAUUGUUAUAAGCGUCAAUACUCCGUAUAAAUUGAUCGCUGCUGUGAGUUCCCUUUCAGCUUAUCGUAGGCAUACAUUAUUGCUAGCACGGUAAAGCCAACCAACACGAAUGAUGAAGUAAACGUAGCGGUACUUCUGUAUACCAACACCCUUACUUAAAUGUACCGGUGUCAUUCCCUACUGGCACAUAUAUUCUUAUAUGCUAGCCAGCUUGUAAAAUUAACCAAUUAAAAUAAUUAUUUCAAGAUAGAAAUAACUUAUCGGUUUCUGGAAGCAUGUGUAAUGUGAAUUCAAGGACUCGACGGAAGUUGAAUCACUUCAUCUAUAUUGCUUUCAGUAUUUUGGGUAACUAAAUUUAACAUUUGCACAUACAAAUGUUAAAGUACAAAUGUUAAAUCUAGUUACCCAAGCAGAAUAUGAAGAUAGUUUAUAGUAUAUAUAUACUAUAUAAAUCUAGUUAACAUUUAGUCUAAAUGUUAAAUCUAGUUACCUAAAAUCCUGAAAGCAAAAUGUAUAAAUAUAUAUCUUUUAAGGCAGUAUAAGCUUCGAUUCCUAUUGCUGCUCUGUUAAAUCUCAUCUUUCGUUGUGGCCCAACACUCUAGUAUGCAUGUUGCACCAAGCUUCUUUGAGCCGCUCUGCCCUCUGAUUUUGCUGCGUAGGGGAAUCUUUAUCAGGUUGGGCUACUUCCAGUUGUGCGAUGUAAAGAUUCGUAUUUUCUAGAAGGUAGACAAAAAACUCGCGUUCUCUUAAGGCAACAACCGGAAGAUUCUGCAGCGCACAGGGCAUACCAUUAUUGUAGAAACGACCUUUAGUACCGAUCUCCAACCCCCUUUAAAACUGGUUUUGCAACCGGUACCGUUAUGUCGGUCCUUUAGUACCAGAUCAAAUAAGUACCGGUUGGUAACCAGUAUCAACUUGUUUUGCGGCCAAAAAAAUAAAGAAAAAAACAGUCAGAAGGCUCGCACACACGCGCAUCACAUGAAAUAUGCGUGUGCGGGGUCCAUGGGAUUCGAACCCAUGAAAUCAAGCUGCACGCGACCCUUCGUUACCAUCUCACCUACAUAGCGCAUAUGCUUUCCUGAAGUAACCCGUGGAGGAGGCUUUAGUACCGGGUCAUAACACCACCCGGUACUAAAAAUGACUCUUCAGUACCGGGUCAUAACACCACCUGAUACUAGUAUCGGAUGGUGUAAUGACCCGAUACUAAAAGGCCUCUAGGGACCCUCAAAUUUGAACCCGGUACUAAUGCUAAUAUUAGUAGCGGGUCAAAGUGCAGCCAGAACUAAAGCAUGGGAUGAAAGGUCAUAUUUCUAGUAGUGUAUAGUUGUUGUGAAGGACUGACUUGGCUGUCCUCUCUCUUCUCCAUCCCCUUGGUCUUACGCCGCCGCUCGCACGCGAGCCGGUGCCCAACCAGAGGAGUGAGAGCUAGGGGCAGGUUGGGAGGUGGGGAUAGUGACUGGUGGCCAGGGUGAUGGUUGAUCCUGGUGGGGUUAGGGUUUCAGGGUUUUCGAGCUUCCUAUGGUCGGCGAACCUAGAGGAGAAGCUCAACAUCAGCUGCAACCCGCGAUGGUGGUGGUUUGGCCGGCGCCCGAGGCGAGGCAGCGCGGGAGUGCUGCCGGUGGGUUGGUGUUGGCACUCAUUAUUGACAACUAUUUUGUUCAUAAAAUAACACUCAAACUUGCUGCUGCUGCUGCUGCCAUCGCCACCCUAGCCAUAAUAUAAAGGCAAAAUUUGCUAAAGGACAUGCAAAAUGAUGCUAGUUUGCUGGCGGGCAUCGUUGACCUUGUAAUAUGCUACAAGACACUCUAGUUGUGUAUCAAUUUGCUGAAAGACAUUGCUAUGACUAAAAUAAUGUUUCUGGACUGAGUUGGAGAGAGAGAUGGAGUGAAAUGUCUGUUUUGCCCAUGACCCCACUGGUCAGAUCCUUCUUCUUCCACCCUCCUUUGUUCUUUCUUCAACCAUUACCCAGCUCCAGCGUGUUGCAGAUCUACGAGGGUGGCGGCCUGGGGCGAGGGGCAUCGCUCGCCCUUGGAGGAGCGCUGCGAGCGACGGCGCGGGGGCGGCAACAGCGCGUCAGAACCUGACUGUUCGUUAGCUCCUCUCGCUGCUGGGGAAGAAGGAGGGGGAUGGGCCAUGGACGGGGUUCCCUUGAAAACCUCAGCGUCGAGCUCGGGCGGCUACGCGCAGGCAGCACUAGGCUGCUUCACGGGGAGGGGGCGCGGCCAAUCAUUGGCACCCCACUGGUCCAAUGCUGAUGAAGAUGGUGCCAGCGUCGUGUGAGGACAUCUCAUCUCCUCGAGUUCCAUGGCCAGCACAGGUGAGCUGCCGCUACCACAAAACAGAGGUUUCGUGAGAGUCAAAAAACCUUAUGAAAAUAGCUAAAACCAUCAUGAAAAUAAUCCGUGACAUGACACUCUCACGAAAAUCCUCUCACAAAUAUGGUGCCAUGAAAAUACCAUUUUCAUGAGAGUGAACUGUCAUGAUUUUAUAAGCGUCAAUACUCGGUAUAAAUUGACUACUGCUGUGAGUUCCCUUUCAGCUUAUCGUAGGCAUACAUUAUUGCUAGCACGGUAAAGAGAACCAACACGAAUGAUGAAGUAAACGUAGCGGAACUUUUGUAUACCAACACCCUUACGUACCGGUGUCAUUCCCCACUGCCACAUAUAUUCUUAUAUGCUAACCAGCUUUGAAAAUUAAGCGAUUAAAAUAAUUAUUUCAAGAUAGAAAUAACUUAUCGGCUUCUCGAAGCUUGUGUAAUGUGAAUUCAAGGACUCGAUGGAAGUUGAAUCGCUUCAUCUAGAUUGCUUUCAGGAUUUUGGGUAACUAAAUUUAACAUUUGCACACACAAAUGUUAAUGUACAAAUGUUAAAUCUAGUUACCCAAGCAGAAUAUGAAGAUACUCUAUAGUAUAUAUGUACUAUAUAAAUCUAGUAAACAUUUAGUCUAAAUGUUAAAUCUAGUUACCUAAAAUCCUAAAAGCAAAAUGUAUAAAUAUAUAUCUUUUAAGGCAGUAUAAGCUUCAAUUCUCUGUUAAAUCUCAUCUUUCGUUGUGGCCCAACACUCUAGUAUGCAUGUUGCACCAAGCUUCUUUGAGCCGCUCUGCCCUCUGAUUUUGCUGCGUAGGGGAAUCUUUAUCAGGUUGGGCUACUUCCAGUUGUGCGAUGUAAAGCUUCGUAUCUUUUAGAAGGUAGACAAAAUACCCGCGUUCUGGAAGAUUCUGCAACGUGCACGUUGGCGCUGCCACCGUGGUUGCUUAAGCAAAUGCAUCCAACUGAAUCGUCCUUAAGCUGAAUAAUUGGAUAUGGUAUCCACUGCUUAAAGCUGCCAUGUUUAGUACGUCUUUGUUUUUCUCUCUUUAUAUUCCAAUAAGGUCGGUGAUCUUGAUGCCACACACUCAGAUGUGUGUUUAUCUCCAGAUACUACUCCAUGCUACCUACCCUUUGUGUUUUGUUCAAUAACUGGGUAUCAUAUCCUAGCCAGUGUGCCAUCUGUUUUGUGUUUGUUUCCUUCUAGUUCCAAAGGGGUCAUCAUGAUGUUACCUUCUUUUGAGGUGUCUAUGAUGACUUCGUUAAUAUCAAUAUUAACCAAUUCAAUCUGUCUUAACUAUUUGUAAGGGGUAUGAUGUAUGCAUGAUUAUAACAAUGAUUGCGCAUACAAUCGCCGCCAAAGAAACGGUCAAUACCAUUAAGACAUAUUACAGACAAUUCUCAUAAUCUAUAAUGAAUAUACAUAUUCACUACUGCAGAAGACUGUCAUUUGUAUCGGCUCAUACGUGCCAGGGCAAAGGUCACCCUUGCAUUAAGUACAUUUGCACGGUAAAGACAACCAACACGAAUAAUGAAGUAAACAUGCCGGUGCUUUUGUACACCAACACGCUUACUUAAAUGUACUGGUGUCAUUCCUCACCGGUAGCCGGCUUGAAAAUUAACCAAUUAGAACAAUUAUUUAUUGUAUCGGUGUGAUUUUUGACCUAUUGGAAUAUGAAUUUGACCGUUACUGCAUUCGUCAAGACUCAAGAGAGAAAUAACUGAUCGGCUUCUUAGAGCGUGUGCAAUGUGAAAUCAAGGACUGGAUGGAAGUUGAAGCGCUAGCACUAGUAGAGAAACGACUUUCCAUCCACCCCCUUUUGUCCCGGUUUAAAGUUGGCUCGGGAUAAAAGGUUCACCAACCGGGACUAAAACUCAGUCACUGGUGGGAGGCUCACCAACCGGAACCUUUUAUCCCGGUUGCAAAGGCUAAUGGGAAAAAAAGACUCUGAGAGGCCUUUUAUCCCGGUUUGAAACACCAACCGGGAUAAAAGACCCCCCUUUUAUCCCGGUUGGUAACACCAACCGAGAUAAAAGGGUCAAGAGCCUUUUAUCCCGGUUGGAAACACCAACCGGGAUAAAAGACCCCCUUUUAUCCCGGUUGGUGUUUCAAACCGGGAUAAAAGGGCCCCCACGAGGUGACUGGAAGGUGACUGGAAGGGGAUUAAAUCGUGGGGGACCCUUUUAUCCCGGUUGGAAACACCAACCGGGAUAAAAGGGGGUCUUUUAUCCCGGUUGGUGUUUCCAACCGGGAUAAAAGGGUCCCCCACGAGUUAAUACAAAAGGAUAGUAUCCCCUACAUAGUCAGAUGUGGUGUGUAGGUGGGAUGGUAAGGAAGCUACGCGCGAGCUCCGGAAUUUUUUUUUUUUUUUUUUGCAGCGUCGGCGCUCUCUACCCUUUUAUCCCGGUUGGUAUUACCAACCGGGAUAAAAGGGGGUCUUUUGUCCCGGUUGAGUGACCCGGGAUAAAAGACCCCCCCUUUUUUCCCCGGUUAGUUUAUCCCGGAUGCAUUUUCGGGAUAAAAGCACCCUACCAACCGGGAUUAAAGCUCACUUCUCUACCAGUGUAGCUUCAUCUUCCGCUGCAAGUUAAUUGCUUGGAUAAGAAGUUGUAGCCGCUGCAAGUUAUAAAUAGUCCCGCUGAUGCUGUGCUCCGAAGUCUAUACUAUAUAUGCGGAAACUAGAUUGCUUUCAGGAUUUUGGGUAACUAAAUUUAACAUUUGUACAUAAAAAUGUUAGUUUACGAAUGUUAAAUCUAGUUACCCAAGCAGAACAAGAAGAUAGUAUAUAGUAUAUACUAUAUAAAUCAAGUUAACAAUUAGUCUAAAUGUUAUAUCUACUUACCCAAAAUAUUGAAAGCAAAGAAAGAAUAAGUAUAUAUCUUUUGUUGGAAAAUUGGUCCACGGAGAGGCCCAUUUAGGCCUCGUUCGUUUCACCGGGAUGGGAUUCCAGUCAGGAUUACUUCCAAGUUCGGUUUGAGUGAUUCCACCCGUGUCACUCAAUCCGGCUAGGAUUCAUUCUAUGGGUGAGGAGGUAUGGUUUCAAUCCAGGCCAUCUAAUGUAGAAGGAUUCCAAUCCAGGCCGGUUUUCGUUCCAGGCCAGACUAAAACGAACAACACUUUCAAUGCAAGUCUGGUUUCAAACCGGGCCAUUUCAAACCACCCGGAAUGGACCUCGUUCCAGGCCAAUCCGGUGAAAACAAAUGAGGCCUUAAUGGAAUCCCAAAGCAAGAGUUCAGUGGCAUUCUAUAGUCCCAUGCUGCUAGUUUGAGUUGGUCGAAGCCAACUUAAAUAGGAGAGCUCUCUCACUUCUCUAAAUACGUAACUGAAGGAGAGAAGGGGGCUUGGGUUACACAACGCACGCACGCACGCAUAUUUGCGUUCUUUUCGCGUAACCAACCGCGUGACUUGAAACUUGCGACGUAGCGUGCUGCUAAGUCAAGUUGAUAUAACCUUUUUGCCGUUUGCAUGUAAUCUUUUGACAACGGUCAUUGGAGGUGAUAAGCACGCAGUCAAUACCUUAAUCUUGAGUUAAUAGGGUGGUUACUACUGCCAAUUAGUGGGGCAAUUUUGUAGGGGAAACGGUUAGCAGAGGGCUACCGUCUUCUCUAUAAGAAGUUCUGGAGACGUCCAGGAACACACAUGUACAUGUGAGAGACCCACAAAUUCCUUCCCUUCUCCCUUUUCCAUGUGGUGAAGUGUGCUGUGGUACUGAGCUGCUUGAUCUCGCCGCUCUUCUCCUUGGCAUGCACCGAGGAGGAGGGUGAGCGGUAUCUCCGAGCUAUUGCCGUCAGGAAGCCUGCACGAGGGACAACAAAAAGUUUUUGGGUAGCGCAACUGCCAGCACAACUCUCCCUCCGCCUCUUCUUCACGGUUGAUGGCCACCACAAGCAUAAACCUCGCCUUCGCAUCCACGCAAAAGGGUCGCUGGGGUGCCUUCUUGCAUCGCUUCUCAGCCUCCUUGACUUGCGGCCAGCCAAGAACUGCGCCACCACCUCGGGUGCACGCCACCACUCCAGGGCUGCUACCCCAUGCCUGCGGCCGCCGCCGGCCACCACGCGUGUGCAACCGCGUCGCACCGCUUCCUUGCUUUGUGCCACCACUGCUGCUGUACCACCAGCUCCACCACCUUGGGCUGGUCGCCAGAGUGACUGAUAACUUAUUAUCUGUAACUACUAUUAACUCAGGGAUACAUGCGUCUUUUGCUUCUCCUACUAAUAUGUCCUAAAAUAUCUAGGAUGCCUUAUAUUUCUGGACAGAGGAAGUAUUUGAAUAAAAUGAACCAAUUUAAAAAAAUGUGUUGUACACUACUACAGAAAGACCUAUCAGUGUCAAACCCAAAAAUGUUGUCACCGCCAGUUUUGGGCAUCAUUGGUGAAAGGUUGGCGGUGAUGGGCUUUCCCUUCAACAACGGCACUGGAGCCGACGGUGAUUGACAUUAGAAAACAAAAAAGGGGACCCUACCUAGCCACCCCUGCAACCCGGCCGGCCGUGCCUCCCCUCAUCCCCACCACCUCGCCUCCCCAUGACCCCCCGCCGGCGCCCUUGCGCCUAGCCCCCUCAACUGCCCAGCCGGCCACCCUCAUCACGAGAGAGAGGUGCAUGUUGUAUAAUUGCGUGAAUUUUUUAAUGUUUAAUUUCAUGUAAGUUCCGUGUAAUAAAUUGUACAAGUUUUAUUGUAUAUAUGAAUUCCAUAUAUAUAUAUAUAUAUUUAUAAUUUAAUGUAUGGUUUCAUGUGUAUAUUUCAAUCAUGUGUAUAUUUAGUAGAUUGCCGAUUUUCUUUUUCUACUAGACAAGGGUUGAUGUAUAAUUACGUGUAUAUGUUUAUUGUACGGGCAAUUAGGACAAGUUUUGUAUAAAUUUCUUUUAUUUGAUGGUUGUUGUAUGGUUUCAUGUAUAUACAUUUAUUGUACUACUUUAGACAAUUUUUAAUUUAAUGUUUCUAUGAUUAGAUGUGUGUAUAACUAAUUGUAUUAUUAGUUAAGAUGGGAGCUAAAGAGGAUGAAAGGUAUAUAAUGGAGCAGAUUAUUGCUAGCUCAAACGUUGCAAGAACCUACACCGAGGGUGAGGGUAGCUAGGUGGACAUGUACCUCAACAUGUCCAGUGAUGGCAAUGACGAUGAGGAGCACGAGCAUGACAUCUAUGAUAAUGCGGAACAAGACAUUGCAGAAUUGGAAGGUUCUAAUGAGGUGUGCUUCAUGUUGACAAUCUAGUUGGCUUUUUUUCGUUGGUCACACCUUAGUUACCAUAGAACUUCGUCUCGGGAGAAGAUUGGUGGUGGUAUGGUGAUUGGAAUUUUAUUUCCACGAAAUCUGAUUUCCAUCGAAUCAUAUCCCUUGUAUUUAUCUUCUUUUUAUUUGUGAGAGCAUCUUCUUUAUGCUUGCAAAACAAUUCAAGUGCACAUACUACCCCUAGGGUGACGAUUGGGAGUAGAAAUAAUUGCCAACAAAACAACACCACAUCCUAAGAUUCUUAACUUGUGGCAUAAUUAGUCUAGUAAAAAGAAAGAUAAAAACCUAAUGGGUGUAUGUGAGUGCAAUGUGUAUAUGCAUAUGAGUGGAAGGCAUAUAAGCAAAGACAAUAUUUACACAUAGUUCUAAACACCAUGUUUACAGCUAGGUUGCUGAAUUUCUCCAUAGCCAUAGAGAUUAAUUAACCAAGGUCAAAACACGAUGUCUAUCCCAAGAUCAGUAAUUAUUUAUAGCACAAGAAAAAGAAAGCGCAUUGCAAAGUUUAUAAACCAACCAAUACAGCAUGAAAACAAGAUGAAUAGCUAGCAAGGUUUAUUAAACUGAAUGAUGACGGUCUGUAAGCAAGUUUAAACACCAUCUUUACACAAGAUUGCAAAUGGAAAAUGCCCAUAUGAAGCACUAACAUGGAUAUGAAAUCAUUCAUCAUAAAGCGUAAAGAACAACCAAGCCAACCAUAUGCAAAGCAUGAAUGGAAUGCAAUGAAGGUGCAAGAGAACAUUUUUGGAUGAACACAUUAUGAUGAUGGCAAAAUGCAAUGCAUGCAGAAAAAAUAAAUAUGAACAUGAAUAUGAUGAUCAGGGGCGGACCCACUAUUGUGGCCUGGGUAUUCCUCGGCAUACCCAAUAUUUUUGGGAAAAUGUUUAGUAGUUUUUAAUGGCAUAUACAUGUAUAAUAUAGUUUAGGUGUUAAAAUUGAUAUUCACAGCUAUUUUGGGCUCCAAUUCGCGUCCAAACCAACCUGGCCCACAGACCGCACCCGGCCGCCCGGCCCAUCGGCCCAUCUUGUCACUGAUCCUCCCACCACCACACUCAGCCCGUCAGUUAGUCAGGUCCCGAGCUCCUGCCUGACCUAGUCCGCUACCACCGCCAGGCGCCAGGCACAGCUGUACACGCCGCCCCCGUCCACCCACGUCCGCCGCACGGCCGCGUCGCGCCCCCCCCCGGCGCCCGCUGCUGCCAGAACCCAUUAGGCCUCCACCGGCAAGUCCACCCACAGUCCCGCGCGACGCGGCAGCCUCUUGGCUCUCGGCGCUCGCGGCGCGCCAAUGCCUGCGCAGCCCCAGCAGGCGACUGCCCCCCCCCCCCCCGCAUCGGGCCUCGGCCCCUCCCCAGCUCCCCCUCCCCCCUCCACCAGGACUGCCUGCUGGCCCCCACCGCGAGGUAAUCGAAAUGGACUGCUCAAUCUCUCAAUCUGUUGACAUGAUGCACACGGUUGCAAAAAUAGAUGUGUCAAAAUAGAUGUAUUGCCAAUUGCUAUAGAUGCAUAUGGUUGACAUGAAGAAGUCAAAAAUGACAUUUGGUUCCUUGUAGGCAGUCAAAAAUGAAGAAGUCAAACAAUAUUGAUCUGAAAUCAAUGCGGGAAAGGGCUACGAAGACACACGGGUAGAUUCCCUUGUGAACUUUUUAUGUCGUUCGUCUAAAUAUAUUUUUGCAAUGGGCAUACCCUACUCUGAAAUCCUGGGUCCGCCACUGAUGAUGAUGGUCUAAACAUAAAACAAGCCUAGAUUAAUUAGCUACAACUGAAAUUAAGCAAAGGUUAAUGUCAUUGACCCUAGCUCUAUCCUAGCUUUUACUAAAGUCCCGGCACAUAUAGUGGUUGGGCCCACUCUCUCUACUUCCCUCUCUGCUGCAUGCACACACACGAGCAACUGGAGGCCCAACAAAGCCCAGAAGGGUUCGGCCGAACCCGUCCGAUCCAGUCUGAGCGCCGCUCCCUCCCAGCCUUCGCGCAGAUGCUCCUCCAACGUUCCUUGACCCCUCCCUCAGUGUCCCAUUGGGUUUAACAUUGUAGGAGAGGAGUCCCUUUUUUAAAAUCUCAACCACCUCCUCUCCUCAUUCACUCCACUCUCAUCUCCAUCAAACUCACCAAGAUCCACAUCGGAAAUACCUGCUUACCACCAUGGCUGGCAAAGCCCUCGUCCCUUUCACCAACUUGGGCUUGACCAUUGAUCUCGAUGGGAAAAUCACUCCAGCAAAUGUCAUUGUCCCUGUCGGCGAUCUGGCGAUGGAGGAGGUCCAGGCACUAGAGGUCGAGCCCCUAGCCAUCAUACCGCCCAAGGGGUAAAGCAGGAGCAUGACAGGCGCUGCUAGGGGUUCAGCCGAACUCCCAGUUCAGCCAAACGAGGACGGCGUCGCCUCGGCCUCCCGCUCGACUGCAUGCUUCCCCUUGCCAAGGAGGACUCCAGAACAGCGGGCGCGUGCGUCAAGUCCCUACAAAAGGCUGAAAUACAAUGAAUAUCCAGGGUCACCCUUGAAGAUGGGUGAACGCUACGCCGGGUCCUUGUUUGACUAGUACGGCGAUGCAUUCUGCCACCGCUAUGUCGUUGUCGAGAUUAGCGGAUCAAGACUUAGACUAGUAAAUUUCUUUUAUGCGCGUAAGGCUUCAGAUGGUGGCGUGGGAGACAUGGGUUUUAUACUAGUUCGGGCAAUGGAAUACCCUACGUCCAGUGUCUGGAGCUGCUUGUGUUGCCCACGCGGGGUUCUGUAGUAGGGGUUACAGGUGUGCGAGAGAGGGAGCUAAUCCCAGGUCUCUUAGGCGUGUUCCGGUCCUCUAGAUGGGAGAAGUGUGUUCUGUUUGCUUGGGAGUAUCGGUUGUGUCUGAGUUGUCUCCGGAGCCUCCUCCCGUCUCAGGUCCCCGAUUCUCCUUUCAUAGCACAAGGAGACCAUCGGGGUUACAGACGAGACCGAGCGUGGGGAGGAGUAAAGAGAUAAACAUAGCUAGGUAAAAAUACAACAAGAAAGGGGGGAACCAAGUUUCUAGGUCACCGGCGUCCUCGCCGGCCUUCGACUUCCGCCGGCGCAUUUGUCGGAGGAGGGUGGCCGCCAUCGCGUUCUGUCGAUGGCUUCCUCGGUGACUGUAGCCACCGGGCGUGAUGAUGGCAUUUCGUCGUGACCCUUUGUCUGUUGGGGGAGGCGGCGGAUCCUGCCAUUCUGCUGACGGCUCGCGGAGUGCGAACGUCGCAUCCCUGCCGCUGGGCACGCGGGGCGCGAGAACGUGCGAGGCUUCCCCCUACCCCAGGCGGCGCAGGCCAUGAGUGCCCUGUGGCAAAUCGGAGGAGGCCGCAGCUACUGUAGCUUGUACUGUGCAGCCACGUAUGGGUACUUGUGGCAGGUUGCGUGGUGGAUGCGGAUAUCCUUCUCCCUGACAGAUCUGCGGCGCAUUUAUGGCGAGAUCGACAUGGGGACCCACAAGACCCGCGCCCAAGGCGGAUACUUGUCUGGAGGGCCCGGGUUAGCCUGACCCCCUACGCUUGGGGUCGGGCGAGGCGGAGACUUGCGGCGGGGCGUCGGACGCUCCCGACACUAGACCUGCGGUCGCGCAAGGCGGAGCUUGGUCUUCCGGGGGUCGGGGGUGCCGGACCCCAGGAUGCGGGGUCGGGCGAGGUGGAGCGUAAUUCUUGCCUCCCAUGUUGGGCCGAUGGCAGUCUUUGUUACCUCUAGUGGGCUUGGGCCUUUAUGUUUUGUUGUUUCCAUGGGCUUCGAGAGGUCGUUAAUAUUUCCCCCCAACAGUAGCCCCCGAGCCUGUGGUGGAGUGGGGGCGCUCCUCCGGAGGCUACUAUCAUCGCCCCUAGGGAAUCCUCGCAGUUGAUCCGGGAUAGGAGGUGUUGUUUGCACGGCUUGACCGAGGGGGUCGAUUAGGCGACGCAUCCUGUGAGCGACUCGGUGCGGGAGGGUUUCUUGUUGUUCCCUUCUGUCUGAGAGCCUUAAGUCGAGACCACCUGCGUGGCCUUUGGUUGCAAGGCCAGCCCCCGAGCCCCCGCACGUUGCAGGGGACCGGUCGGAGGCUAGGUCGACUUUUGUUCAUUACCCUCAAGCGUCUGUUCGCUAGGACGGAGGGGGCGAGCCGUGCCAUGCUAUCCUCAUCGGACGAACCAUGGUGCUCAUUGAGUUACUAACGGGUUGAUUCGAGUGGGAUCCCGGUCCCCGUUCGGGGGGGGUCCGGCUUGGGCCAAGCUGGUGGCGUACCCCAGGCUCCGGUCGGCCAGUUCAUAUAGUUCCUGAGUCCGUUCGGUCGGACCGGGGGCUCAUUGCCUUUCUUCGGGGAAAAACCAUGAACUUUGAUGCCGGUCCAGACUCGAAUGUGAGAUUGAGACGCCCGGGGCUGUCGCGUGCCCGGGUGAUGGCCGCUAGCGGACCCGUCUCCUCUCACCCCUCACUCGGGGGUAUCCUGAGGCGGCUGUCGAACCCGUGGCGGGCCAGCCUUCGAACCUCUGGAUCGUAAUGGGCCGUAGGGGCGUUUUCAGCCCCGUAUCCCUUUUUACCUUUUGGUGGGCCUUGGGCCGAAUCAUGGAGGAGGUCGGGCCUUGGGCCGGAUGCGGAGGAUGUCGUGCCUUGGGCCGGAUGUGGGGGACGUCGUGCGUGUCUUCCGGGAGACGAAGUGGUGGAGGGUGCCAACCCGCGAAUCGAGGGAGGAGGGGAUGUUUCUACUGCAGGUCAUGCGCACGGUUUCCGAAAAGGCAGCGGGCGUGACGGGACGUACCUCGCGCCGCAUUUAUUGCGAUGGGGGCGUCUGUUCUGCUUCCCUCGUGCCUUCCCUAUAAAACGAGGACUUCGCCUCGCCGGUUCCGCCCGCCAUCUACCUUCAAGCCUUUUCGCCUCCUCGCGCGCCCUUAGCUUUCCUGUGCCCGCUUCGUCUUCCUCCGCCCAGUGCCGCGCCCUUUCUCCCCAUCCGCCGUCGAGUUCUUCUCCCUCCGGCGAUGGGAUCCUGGGCGCGUUCCCACUUCGGCCCCUCACGCGCCGAAGGCCUAGUGAGGAAAGGCCUCCUUUGCGAGAGGACGGAGACGGAUGAGUGGGGGUUCCCUGAGAUGGAAGAGGUGCCGACUCCGCCCACCGGCUACGUCGUUUCCUUUGCCCACUUCCACGAGAGGGGGUUUGCGACUCCGCCGAGCCUCUUCUUCCGCGGGCUUUUGUAUUACUACGGGCUUGAGCUGCAGCACCUCAACCCCAACGGGAUUCAGCACGUCGCGGCGUUCGUUGCGGUGUGCGAGGGGUUCCUGGGCAUUGAGCCCAACUUCUCGCUGUGGAAGUACUUCUUCACGGUCAGCCUAUACCAGAAGGCCGAGAAGAGGGGAAGCCAGCAGCGGUCGACCCCGGUGCCGAUAGGGUGCGUCGGAAUCCACCUCUGCCAUACUCGCGCCAAGGAGUAUAUCGCGAUGAAGACCGCGGCAUCCCACAAGGGGUGGCACCAGCAAUGGUUCUACGUGAAGAACUACUCCAACCCCCCCUGCCGGAGUUCACCGGCCGCAUUAUUGAAGCGGCGCCGGAGGUGUGGGUGUACGGCCCGGUGGAGAAGGAGAAGAAGCGGAUCACCGGCCUGCUGCAGGCCAUCGAGCACCUGAAGGAGAGGGGACUGACCGGAGCCGGAGUCAUCGGGGCGUACCACGCCCGGCGGGUGGCGCCGCUGAUGCUCCGGGUCCGCUCGCUCGCCGACAUGACCCCCGGUGCUCUCACCGAUGGCACUGUCCUCGCGACGGGUGCUCUCGCUGCCUCCGAGAUCCGGCAGCGGAUCCGGGAGGCGCUGGAGGACAAGGACGCCGAUUACCCGGUGCCCGGCCACCCUCCGAUGCGCCCGGACGAGAAUUUCAUUGAUCUGGUAAGGAUUUUGCGCGCCAGUUUCCCUCUCUUGCGUUUCUUGGUAUGCCGUUCUGACGCGAGGCCCUCUGUGUUUGCAGGGUAGCAUGACCCGGGUCGUCGACUUGCGUCCGCCAGUGUCGGAGGACGCCGAGUGGCGGUAGCAGAACCGUCUCCUUGCCGAGAAGCAAAAGUGACGCAAGGACAAGAGACAGCGAAGAAGAAGAAGAGGGCCGCCAAGGAGUUCCAGCGGCGGCGGUGGGGAUAGGUCGUGUCGGAUGACGAUGACGAUGAGAAGGAGGAGGAGGAUGACGAGGAGGAGGAGGAGUUUAUCCUGUCCCCCCGGUCAGGGGCGCUUGUUAUCCGGGAGCCGCGCUCCCAAGCGGCCAUGGGGGACAAGGCGGGCGAGCUGCCUGCCCGGACCCGAUCCUGCGAAGCUUUGGGGGCGCGCCCCAGGGGUCGGCGCAGAGCGCCCCCCGGGGGUCGACGGAGCCGACCCCCAUCCCUACACCUGCAGCCCAGGAGCAGAGGAGCAGCGACAAGCGGCCGUUGCCAGAUGCCCCGGGGUCGGCGUCCAGCUCAGAGGCGAAGCGCGCGCGCCGCCCUUGCGCUGGGGGAACGUGAGUUGAAUUUCCUUGCGAAUCUCGUUCCUUUCCAUGCAUUGUGUUUGUUUCCGCUGAUGCUGUUUGUUGUCUCACAGCACCGCCCCUCAAGGCCUUGUCCCGCCGUUGGCGCCAAAGAAGGCGUUGCGGUGUUGUCGCCUCUGCGGGGCGGACCGCGGCUCCGCCGGCGGCGAGUGGCGGGGUCACUGGUGAGACCGCGGGUCCUACCGCGGAGGUGGCCCCUGCGGCGGCAACCGGUGGAGUGGUGCCACCGCCGGGCAUGGGACAGGGUCUGGACCCCGCUCCGUCCUCCGCCUCUUCGGCCGACCCCGCGGUGCAGAGUAUCGCUCCUGGGGGCCCUCAGGCCGGGGAGGUGAUUGACCUCGACGCCGACGAGGUGGAGGAGACGGCGGCGGUGGAGACGGGGGCGGUUGCCCCAGCGGCCAUGACGGGGACGACGACGGCGACGGGGGAAGGAGAGUCUACCCCCGCGGCCACGGCGGGGACAGUGGCGACAGAGGAGGCGGGGACGCCCGCCCCGGCGGCUGCGACGGAGGAGGCGGCGGUGACGGAGACGGGGGCUUCCGCCCGGGAAGCCACAGCCGAGGUGGCAGCGGCGACGGAGGUGAAAGUGCCUGUUCUGGAGGCCACGGUGGGGGUGGGGACGCCUGCCUCGUGGCCACGACGGAGGGCGAGGCGGCCCCAGGGACACUUGCUCCGGCACCCGCGUUGGAGGCGGUGGCGCCGACGGGUUGGCCCGUGGCGGCCUCGACGGGGGCGGGGGUGCGUGCGCCGGGACCGUCGGUGAGGCCGGCGACUUCCGGGAUGGUGGUGCCCGUCUUGACGGCGGCGGCGGCGCGGUCGGCCCCCGCCCUUGCCUCUACCACUCCCAUUCCCAAGGCGUGGAGCGGAUCCGUCCUGCGUUGGUCGUCUCGUGACGACCCGCAGAGGCCCCUCUUCACGUUGGAUGAUGCCACAGAAUGGGGCAAGUGGCAGGCGCUGCAGGGCGGACUCGCUAACGUCCGCGCCGCUCUAUCUUCGGCGUUGGGGGAGCUGGACGGCGUCAUCUUCCCCGGUGGCCGGGUAUGGUGCUUUCUCCGUUGGUUAUUUUCUUCCCGUUACUUCGUCCCUGAUGGCACAUUGUUCUGCAGGCCCUCCAAGAAUGUAGCCGGGGAAAAUCUGAUUUCCUUUGGCUCGAGCAGGGGCUCUGGGAGCGCUUCAACUUGGAGUUGCAGCGGACCGGGGAGCUGACCAUGCAAGUCGCCACCGUCUAGCAUGUCAUCGACGAUCUGCGAAGGCACGAGCAGGCGGCACAGGAGGACGCGCGGCGGGCGGAGGCCAAGUUCCAGGUCGUUGCCGAAAGGGCUCGCUGCGACCGCGAGGAGUUCCAGGCCGUUGCCGAAAAGGCCCGCCACGACGCUGAGGAGCUCGCACGGCUGAAGGUGCAGCAUGAAGCUCUUCAGAAGAGCGGCAGAGGGCCUGGCAGGACCGGGACGCCGAGAAGGUCCGGAAGGAGGAGGCUGAGAAGGUGGCGGCCAACCUUGGGGCUGAGGUCAGCCAGCUCCAAGUGCAAGCGCGAGAGCUUCAGGCCUCCGUGGCCCAGGGGCUCGACCAGGAGCGCCAGCUGAAGGCCUAAUCCGAGGGUAUGACUCUGUUUAUUUCUUUGUCUUUGUGAUGUUGCGGUGAUAUUUUAUUUGGCGGGUUCUUCUGGAUGAUCCUUGCAGAUGAGCUCAACUGGCUGAGGGAGGUGCUUGACGCGGAGCGCGCUGAGCACGGCGACCUGCGGGACGCGGUCCGCGUCAUCUGUGACUUCCUUAGUGUGGUCCAGGGGGAGGGGACGAGCUCGCUGGCGGCUCGUGUCCUCGGGACGUACCGCCGGACCAGCGAGAUCGCCCUGGAAGCGCUUCGCACCGGCUUGAGGCAAGCCUUUGGGGUCUUCGGCUCCCACUAUUCCGGCAUCAACUUCGCCGGGAUGAGCGGGGGAUACGCCACCGGCUACUACGAGGCCGAGCUGGAUGAGAUCGACGUGUCGGUGCUCAGCCCGGCGGAGGCCUUGGUGAAGCUCCUCGAGGAUGAGGCCGUCCCGCCCGAAGAUCCCCGGACGAGUUAACUAUAUCGGGCUGGCGCCCCAGAUGUAAAUACGUUAGGGAAAGACUUGUUUUUUGUGAGGGCCGUAGAGGCCUUUUCUAUGAAUUGUCGUAAAAAAGUUUUUGAUUCCCUUUCUUGCUUUUUGGACUUGGAAAGUUUAGAGCACGUUGUCGGGCGUGUCAGUAAGCUUUGAUGAGCGAAGGCACCGUAGCCGCUGGGGCGUCGUUUUUUUUGCAGUCCGAUCAAUCUUGCCUGAACACCGUUCGUGCACUUUCUCCUUUUUAUGCCCAAAAGUUCAGAAAGAGGGUCGGCUCGGAAAGAGAAAGCGUUUUGAGAGGGUGUCAAGUGGCUUAGGUACUUGCGGCAGGUUGCGUGGUGGACGCGGAUAUCCUUCUCCCUGACAGAUCUGCGGCGCAUUUAUGGUGAGAUCAACAUGGGGACCCACAAGACCCGCGCCCAAGGCGGAUACUUGUCUGGAGGGCCCGGGUUAGCCCGACCCCCUACGCUUGGGGUCAGGCGAGGCGGAGACUUGCGGCGGGGGGUUGGACGCUCCUGACCCUAGACCUGCGGUCGGGCGAGGCGGAGCUUGGUCUUCCAGGGGUCGGGGGCGCCUUACCCCGGGAUGCGGGGUCGGGCGAGGCGGAGCGUAAUUCUUGCCUCCCAUGUUGGGCCGACGGCAAUCUUUGUUACCUUGGGUGGGCCUGGGCCUUUAUGUUUUGUUGUUUCCAUGGGCUUCGAGAGGUCGUUAAUAUUUCCCCCCAACACUAUGAGGAGGACUUGUGGGCAGAAAGUCAGCUACCACAAACUUGCCUCUGAAUAUUUGGAGUGCAAACAUUGGAUGGUGGUUGUGGAGAGCCCCAGCCAUACCUCGCACCCGUGGAGAGGUAAUUGUCGGAUUGCUUGGUUCGUCUCUAGAAUGCGACAAGGUCAGGCGCCACCUCUCACUGCUGCCAGUCAGAAGGCCGAGGGGCCAGUUUCAACAUAGUAAUGAGAAUCUCCGAAGGCCAAUAUGGUUAAGCAGCUAACCUCCAUGAUCAUAGACUUACGUUUAGAAAAUAGGAGGCUUAGCGAUGCGUUAACAGAGCAGAAGUUAGAAACAGAAGAACUUAAGGACGACUUCCGUGUCCUCCGCCUUGGUCUUUGUGCUAAGAUAAAGCGCUUGUACAAUGCCACGGGGAAUGACGGUCUCUACGAUGCAGCUCAAUAGACGUGCCCCUUGUAUCCUUUCCUUUAGGCACUUUAGAAUAUGUUUAUUUGUUUUCCUUCAUUUUAAUUUCCAAUAGAUUGUUAGCGCCUCCAAUUUAAUUUCAAUAAAGUGUAGACUCACCGGUCAUCCAACUUGAUGGAGUCCUUUUGUCACCUAGUUGUCUUUGGAAGAAGUAGCUGGGUACAAAAUAAGUGUGGGGGAGAGCCACAGACUCUCUAGAGCUGAAACAAUGCACAACACCCACAAAUAGAGAAAACCACGCUGCACCAGCACGUACGUGAAAGUGGAGCCAGAGCUGGACCCAUAGGGGUUUGGCCAACCCAAGGGGUGGCCCACUCGGGCCAUCUUCAUCCACCGCGUCGGUUUGUGUCUCUUUACCCCUGAUCUCCCUGAUUCAUGAGUUUGAAUGAAUUUUAAAUCUGAUCAACUAAUUCAAACUCAACUAAAAUGAAUCAACUGCUCCACCUGCUCUACAUGUUUUCUAUGGUUGGCUUGCAUAUGUUUUAUUUCAUGCUUAUCAUCUUGAUGCUUGUGAACAAAUAUCUUUAGGACAGCAUGCUCAUCUAAGUAGUUGAUGUGUAUGAUAUGGUUCGAUGAUAUGAUCUUCACUCUUAAUGCUUAAGUGCUUGGGAAAAUCUAUUUGAAAAUUUAAAAGCCUUUUUGAAAUCUCCUCUUUGAUGUGCCAAAGUCCUACCAAAGCCAUAUGAUAAGUUAUCUUGAAAAACCAUUUGCAUAUGUUGCUUGUCUUUGCAUUGAGCUUUGUCAAAUUGGUGUGACCCUUGUCACAAUUCUUUUCAUACUUUCAUGAUCAAGACUCAUGUGCACGCCAUAUACCCCUUGCUAUGCUUCUAUGAGAUGUUAGCAUUGUACCAUCCAUUCAUUCCACAAAAUAAAUGCUCCACCAUAUGUGUUGGUCUCCUUCUAAGAUUAUUGUUACAAAAGAGAUAUGGGCUAUCAAAAAAAAAUAUGAAUGUCCAAGAAAGUUGGACACAUGAAUGUCCAAUAAAAAGAAAAAGAAAGAUAGCCAUGUCCUCAGAAAUAUUUACAAAGGGAGAGAGAUCAUACAAAAAGGAGUUUCCAUUCCAUCCACCACAUCCAUACAUGUGCACAUCUUGAUCUGAUUGUAUGACUUAUUUUUCUCUUUGGAUCUGGUCUUUGACUUUGCAAUAUAUGUGAUGCAAGCAUGCCUUAUCCUUCAUAGCCUACCUUGAGCUCCACAUAUAGCCAUCAUUAGAAGUAGGAUGAAGAAAGGCAAGUCUAAUGCCUUGGUGAGGACAUAUACACAUUGAGUGAUCUGAGAGAAUCAAAUGAGGAGCUAAGCAAGGUUUUGUUUUGAAAACUAAUUGAAAAAUCCCAAGCUACUUGGCAUAAGGAGUUGAGGUGACUUGAUUCAAGACCAUUACAUUCCUCAACUACCCAAGAUGGCAUGAUAGACACUCCAAAGUUCACAAGUGCAGGUAUGGUUUGGAAUAUCUUUUAGGCUCGCUUCAUACCUUUGAAAGUUAUGUUUCACCUUAGUCCUUUCUCGUUCACUCAAGGAUAAGCAAAGGCUAAGUGUGGGGGUGUUGUUGAUGGCUCUUAAGUACAAAAUCUGCGCCAUCAACUCUUGCAUAAACACAUAAAAUAUGAGCAUCAACAAUAGUGGUAGGAGUUAUUACAAACGAAUUCCACAAGUCUUGGUGAAUAUUUGUAUGCAAGCCCAAUAGGAGAGAAAAGACACCUCAAAAGCAAGGAAACACACUCUCAACCAAUCAAGAGCAAGCACAUGGAACCAUGGGCCCACAACCAAAAGGAAAUCGACUACAUUCCAAACACCCUAUACCCACAUGAGAACCCAUAGGGCAGUGACCCAGAGCAAAGGUGAUGCCAGAGUGUAGAUGGUAGUUAGCAUGCCAAAUUUUGAACCGCAAGCGCUCGGAUUAGUUGUUUCUUUUCCCUUAGAGAUUCCCCCAAGGUUUAUCAAUCCAUGGAACAAGGGAUUUGCACGUUUCACUAAGCACUAAUCAAUGUAAUUGAAAGCUUUUCGAAUAAGAUAUGAUUAUGCUAACAAAGGAACUAAGCAAUCUAGAUUAAGAUGGAUAGAGAGUACAGGUUGUGAACAAGAUAGAUUAAACGCUUGUAGAUGCAAUCACCAUGCAUGAAUGAAUUAGAUCUAGGUGUUAUUGUGAGUGGUUGUGAACCAUGCCCAACACUUUCCCACCCGCAACAUUGUCACUACAUGUGGGUACUCAACUAUCGGAACAUAAGAACACAUCAAGAUGAUCAUUCUAGGUAAGCAAAUAAGCAACCCAAAGUAGCGCUGGCCAGCCUUUUCAUGAAAGAGCAUCAUCAAGAUAAGAUUGAUAACAAAAUAGAUCUCAACCAAAGGUUCAGCGAUUACAAAUCAAGAUCUUCGUAUAACCCCGAUGACAAAUAGAGGUAUUACCCCCAUGAUCUUACACAUGUUGAUGAAUUUUAGGGUAAAGGACACCCUGUAGAUCAACUGGACCAAAGAUGAUGAUGAACGGGGGCAGGGAAGGCCCAGGUUGAUCAGCCUGCGCACUUUUGAGCCGAUCAGCUCAGGGGGUUUCCUCCUCCCCUGGUGCUCCUCUUCGCGUGGCCUCCUCUGGAUCCAAUCUUCUCUUCAUUUCUCCUACUUGUGGCGGCAAUGGAUGGUGUUUGCAUGGUGAUUUCCUCUUCUCCCCAACUCUCCCUCCUUGAAGUCCAUGAGGGGGUAUUAAUAGUCUCCAAUAGGCGGCAGCUCUGGGUCAAUGUCAGUGAAAAAAUCCUAGAGAUCAUCGUACACUUCAUGCUGAGGAAACAAGAGGUUGACCGAGCCCUGGGAUAGACCAAGAGGAUCAUCCUAGAGGGUCCCAGGCUAAUCGGUCUAGGCCCUUCCUAGCCCUUCUAGUCCUCUCCUUCCUCGUGCUGGCUUUUCUCGAUGACCCUUGUCCAAAUAUCCAUGAAGCUCUAUAUACAUACCCCCUUGAUUAUGUUGUAUUUCCUGUCAAAAUACAAUGCUCCAAAAUACAACACAUAUGCAAUAAUAGGGUUAUUUCAGGUGCCAAUUGGUGGGUUAGUAUACGAAUAAGCAUGAAAAUACUGUUUAAAUGACACUAAAAGUGUGUCAAUAACGAGCACCAACAAUCCCCCCACGCUUAGAUCUUGCUCGUCCUCGAGCAAGUCUAGCGACUAAAAGAUCUUGAAUUAAACCUGAGCAAGCGAGUCAAGUACCUAGCCUUGAAACAAAAGAUUAGAGGAGCAGCAAAGAUAAUCAAAGUCUGGGUGUUCAAAGAUUUAUCUAAGCAAAGAUUCCCCUACAACUAUUAUUCAGAACCAAGUAACUUCAAAAAUCAACUACACUUAUUUUCUGGCUUUUUUCAGAGGGUUUUUCUUUCAUCAUAAAACAAUCUCCCUGCAACAAAAUUGAAAAAAGAAUUAUUUUCAAGGUGCUUACAUGUCGCUUAAAUGAAUGUUGGCUAUCCUACUUAUUUGCAAGCUCUCAUCUCUCAAAAUUCAUUCAAUUAUAUGGUGGAGUUUGGGUAAGGUUAGCUAGAAUCAACACGUAUAUUAUUGAAUUAAGAAAACCCUCUAACGGUGGCCUACCUUCCGAGCCAUUGAUCAUAAGAAUAUCCACAUAAUGUGAAGUUUUCAAGGAUGAGAAGAUAUAGAAUGGUGGACAUGUGCAAAGGCAAAGAAAUAUAGUGACUCUGAGGCACAAGCAAUGUCCUCGUCGUUGGAUUGCAUAUGGUUGUAAUGAAAAUAUGUUCCUUAAACAAGUCUAUCUUUUCUUUGCACCACUCUUGAUCUUCAUGACAGUAAAAACUCCUCCUUUAUUUCUUUCUCUCUUUUCCUAUUAUUUCUUUUUAUUUGUCUCAAUACUUUUAUUUCUUUAUUUCUUUAUUUUAAUCUCUUCUCUGAACCUCUUCUGAACACCACAUAAUAAAAAUAAGUUUUAGAUCCUUCCAGAGACCUUCCAGGAAUUUGCUACAUGAAAACCGAGGCAAGGAGACCCCAGGCCGAUUGGCCUAGCCACUCCUUUGCUCUCCUCUAGCUCUUCUUUCUGGUGAAGCUUCCUUAUCUUGUAUCUUUCCAAAAAUUUCAUAAAGCUCGACUAGAAACGGAACAGAUCUUCAUAUAAUGAGUUGUGUUCAAGGAAUUGGUAAUAAAAUUGAGAAAUUUGUGGUUCGGGUUUACGAAUUCAGUACAAAAAUAUGAUUGUUCCAAUGAAGAACUCUCAUUACUGAAUAUUGACGAGGCAAGCAUUCAAAGAUGGUAAAAAGGAUAUGAUCAAUUCUCAAAAUUAAAGCAAACCAAGAGAGAGCGAUCCUAAUUCAAUUCAAAGUGUCAAAUGUUGCUUAUGGUGGUAUGAAUAAAUAUUUUUAGGCAUUGGGUAGGAUAAAUAAAAACUCUCAACCUGGUUAAAAGAUAUUGAUCAAUCUUGUUUUUGCAGAGGUUUUAAAUAAAAAAUAAAAUUUUAAAUCACCUCCAAUUCAAAGCCUUACUCAUAAAUCAUAAUCAAAACUGAAGCACUUGAUCAUCAUAAAGCAUGGGUAUUGCAUAAACAAAUCGAUUACUAAAACUCCACAACUACGAUUUAGAAUUCAAGACAAUGCUCAUAAUCUAAAGUUGCAAAGAUAAAAUAAAAGACAACCAAGCCAAGGUAGACACUAAAAACACUUGCACGAUCCUUGAAUUUUAUUCAUGCUUCUUCUCACAAAGACGCUAAAGUAGCCAUGUAGGCCUAAGUCUUCCCAAAAGCUUAAGAAAACUACUACUUUAUCUACUUUUGGUUGAAAUAAAAAGACUAAUCUAGACUCUCACAUGAUUCGACUCGACCAAAUUAGAUCCAAAAACUCAUACGAGCGACGAUCUCCCCCCCCUCACGCUUAAAAUCUACGACCUCCUCGUCGUAGCCAUAUGGAGUACAAGGAAAAGAAGCUUGUAAACGCUCUAAUGACGCUACCCGCACUACUUGCACACGGGAUGGUUGCUGCUUCCUUCGCUUUGUUCUUCCUCAUGUUGCUGCACAUCCCGAAGAGCUUCCUCACGUUCCUCUGCAAGAACUUGAACUCGUCCUCCUGACGGCGAUCAUUAUCUUCUGCCUUUUGAUCCAGAGCUUGUAAGGCUUGCAUGAUGUCAUCGAACGCAUCGAAGAGGUAGUGGAUGUUCUUCCUGCAAGCUGUGGAACAUGUACGAUCAUGCUCCUCCGAUUCUGGCCCGUCGUCUUCUAGAUCCUUCUCUUUGCCCUUGUCUUGACGGUGGCUAUCUUGCUCCUUGCUCGCCUUCUUGCCUUCAGCCCAAUCCCAGUACGUGUUGUCAUCUUCUUCAUCGUCACGGCCUGCAGCACCCUAUGAUCCAUUGUCUAUCUUGUAUGAAAGAAUCAGAAGCUUGUUCUCCUCAGGGUGUCUUGCGCGGUGCAGCGUUUGCAAGUGCAAGACUUGCUAGUUCCUUUUACACAUUGUAAUGUUCAUUGCAUGCUCUAAUUGUUCUACAUUUGUAAUUUCUUGGUGAAGUUUGGUUACUGAUCCACUGUUUGAUUAACUCUUGGGCCCAAACACUGUACUACUUCUGAUUAGAUAUCUGUAUCUUGACUUUGACCAAAAAAAAUAUCCGGCAGUUUUUGCCAUUAAAGUUUCAUAAAUCAUCUUGCAAAAAUCGUACUAUACAACAAGGGACGGUUUAUUAUAAAAUAUACGUUCCCCUUAUCACAUGCCACUUCCACUCAAAAGGCAACGAAUCAGUUUUCAAUCCUGAGUGAGCAAUUUGCUUUUAUUACCGAUGCCUCCUAUUCCCUUGUGCACCAAGUUUAUUUUGGAUAGGGCUGCAAAAAACGACUAACCAGCUCGGAUUCUCCACCUGCAAAACCGCAUCUGCAGCAACCAACCCCACGCGGUGGAAAAAAAAACAAAACCUAGAAACCGGACGGGGGUGGAUGUGGGGCUCGGAGCCCAAGCAAAAAACGGAUCGGGAGCGCCGGAGCAGGCCAUCACCGGAUGUUAGAGAUAGAAAAUGGUUGAAGUUUGGAGUGGAAAUCAAACAAGCCUUGGAGCAAAGGAAAAAAAAAGAUCAAACCACUCAAGCAUUCAUUUGAUUUAGAAAAGAGAACAUUUGUUAAGGUGGGGAGUUGAAAUCAUCUUUUAAUUAGUUCCACGUAUCUGGUAUCAUUACAGUUGGUUUACUUGUGUAAGUAUAAGUAGCUCUGCCGAAGCCUUUGCUCCUAUAAUUUAGUAACUAGUACAAAUGGAUCAAUAGGAAAAUCAAGUUGCAAUCAUUUCUCAGCCAACCAAACCUAUGUAAAUCAAAUUAUUGUCCAUGCCCGGCAUGCACAGGUGCCUGCCAUGCAUGCAUUGUUGCUCCAUUGUAAUAACCAUUAUUGUCCAUCGAUGUUGCAGCGCAUGUGUGCACUGUGCAGACACCAAGCAUCGAGAUUAUGUACUAGUAAGGUGUUGAAAUAAUGGGCCUAGCCCAUAAGUAAUUUCAGAAUUUCAAAUAAAUCUCAAAGGCCCAUGUGGGCAAGAGGUGGAGUGGUGCAAGUCUUUAGUCCCACAUUGCUAGUCGAGGGGAGGGAUGACCAACUUAAAUAUGGAAGUUGUCUCCACUCCUCCAAGCUAUGUGUGAAGGGCGCGGGCGCGAGGCACUUGCGUGAAUGGUCCGCCGAAAUCUGGCCCCCCUUGCGGGGGCGCGGCUUCCUUUUGCCGUUUUAUUUUUUGGUUACUUGGUCGUUAAGUCAUGGAAUCCUAACCGGUUUAGAUCACGAUCGUGAAGGUUUUUGGGAAGCGCUCUGCGCGACUGCUCGAUCGCUUCUUCCGCUUCGUCAAGUUCUUCGUCGACUCCUUCACCACGGCUCGUCUACCUCUUCGUCGCUCGGGCCUCACUCGUCGUCGCGAACAACGUCAGGCUGCUGAUCGUCGUCGCCUGCUGUAUCCGGUAGUCGUCCAGGAGCCGGUUUUCAUCAAGAAAGAAACGUACGGUCUCUUAACUCACAUUAUGUCUUCCAUACUAGCUAUUAUGAUUGUUGCAGUCUGAUAGCUCUGGAUAGUAUGGUAGAAUGUCUGAUUCUAUUUGCAAUGAUAGACUUGUCUAGAUCUUGCGUAGACAUGUCUAGUUUAAUCUGCUGCUUGUUCAUCAUAUUCAUGAUUUAUUUCUGGAUUAAGUUAAAACUAAAAGUGCUUAUAUAUCCAACAUAAGGUACCAAGAACACGUGAAGCACCCGGGGGAGGCUGCUCCACUCCGCAUGCACAGGUGGGCACGGCACCACUACUCGUCUCCUUCAGGCUGAGGAUAAGUGAUGUACGCUGAUCAACAGACCACGACGGAACCAGCAAUAAUAGUUUCAGCCUGCCUCACAGUAAUUAAUAUAUCCUGUAUCCUCCGAGGACCCCUCCCCUUAAUCUUGGCCUAUUGCAUCCAAUAAUGAUAUGUGUGUUUAUCCAAAUUUACGGCACCUUUGGCGGGGGUUCCACCCAGCUCCGCCCUCUCCACCUUCGGUACUCCAUGGGAAACCAUUCCUUUGGAAUCAAGGAAGCUUGAACAGUAUAACGAAUAAAGUUUCAUAUAUCCAUUUGAUUUCACAUGAAAUAAAAUAUUCUGUCAGAACCAAUGGUUUCACUGAAGCUCCAGGCAGCGAGCGAAGGGGUGAGAGAGGAUAACGCUUACUGUGUGUUACCAUCGCGUGCACCAUGGAUGACCAACGCGCAGCCGAGAUGAAACGGCGGACCUAAACAGGUCCUCGCUAUUUUUGCAGGUUCUCGACCAGGCCAGUUCUUUAGGCCAACCUAUCAUUCACGAGUUAAACAUACGGUGGCUGGAGAAAUGUUCUAUUCUUUUAAACAAUACCAGCUGGUUCCUCCGUUUUUAUUCCACCAAUACAAGCACCACCUUGUAACAUUUCCUAUGUUUUUUUUCCUUUCGUCUGUUUUCUCACUACAUGCGUUGCUCUUUCAUGCAUUUUUUUCCAUUCCUGUAUUCCAAAUAGGUCUACAUGAACACAAAAUGAACUAGGGGACAGAAAAAGCCAGUGAAGUUAGUUUUGAGCUUCACCAGCUACUUGCUACAUAAAGUGUGCUAUAGUCGCAGAAAAGCUAAGCUGGAUCAGACGUGGCCGAAACAAUGCCAAAGAGCUAGGUCCCUAGCUGAUGGCAACACAUCAGAUGACUAGCCUGCUUUUCUGUAAUAAUGAUAUUGAGCAAUACACUGCAUGGCUAACCUGCUUUACAAUAAUUGUCAUUUUAUAAUAUUGGUCAUCACGAGAGAUGCACAUUGCAUACACCGGCCCAUCCCUAUAAAUAGCCAAGCCUUUCAGCCAUCUUGGGCACCUCCUCUCAGGGCCUCGUCUCACCAUCAGACAUCUCGUUCCCAGUUAUAAUUUGCGAGGUUAGAUCAGGCUGCGCCAUGGCGUCCGCAACUGCUGUCAAGAUCGUCGCCACCUUCAUGCUGGUGCUGACCAUGGGCCACCUGAUGGCCGAAGCAUCACCGCAGCCUCGGCGUGUGCUUGCAGAAACGGAGCAUGCUGCGGUGUCCGGGAAUCCUGGCCUCCCAGGUGAUGCUAGCGUCAUGCAGGUCCUCGAACCCGCCCUAGUUUCUCGGCUUGCCUGCAAACCAGAGUGCACAGUCCCUUGGCCUCCUUUUGUAUGUAUCUGCUAGAUCCUCUUCCUGGCUCAACGGAACUUCAGGGAAAUGGCUGUGACGUCGGCCAAAGAAUAAAUUGGAUGAACAUAAUAUACCCCGGGUAGUGUAGCUUGGGCUUUUGUUGAGCGUCUGGUGCUAGUUGUAUUUUGUUUGCUCAUGUGGCUUUGCUUCUGGUUGCAUAUUGGCUUUCCUAUCGCUCUCUGUUGCAGCUAUGGUUUCUGCCAGGUGUGUGUUAAUGCGGUUUGUAAGCGGUGCUUGUUCCUACCUUCUGUUUUCAAUAAAAGAAGUCGGAGUCUCCCUCCGACUCUUGUUAUCAGUCAACAAAAAUGAGUUGUAUCAUAUAUAUCUGCGUCUUUUUUCUACGUAUCUUUGGGCUGCUUCAGCUGGAAGUUUAUCGUAAGUACGUGUAUCAGGAUGAUCGUUUGAAUUAAAACGAAAUGAUAAUGUGUGGCUGCUAGAAAUGGAAUGAGCAUCUUACUAUAUUACUAAUUGGAAGCCUCCACGUGAAGCCACCUAGAAAUUCUAGGUGGACGUUUUAAAAAAAACAAAACUCAUAGAAGCCUCCACCACCUAGGAAUCCUAGGUGGACACUCUAAAAAGAGACAAAUCCUAGAAAUUCUAAAAAAAGAAAAAAAUAAUAACAAUAAGAUUUUUUUGCAGUCAAUUACAUAUAUUUUUUUGAGACACCGUGCUGCUAGCUCUUGCCAUUGCGACCAGUAAAGCAAGCAGAUAGUAAGAUGACAUGCGUGUGGAUUGAUUAAAACAAAUUCAGUUAGUUGAUUCUAAAUCGUAUGUAUCCUAAAAGGAAGAUAUGUGCGUGCAUGGUCCCUAGCGAUGACAUGUAGACAUGUAUUGCAAUUUCUUUUUUAAAAAACAUGUCUAUCUCUAAACCAACAAACAGAAAAAAUAUCAAUCUAAAUCUAAAUCUCUUCCGUUCUCACACGCCUAUUAAAGAGAAGACAACCAAUCCCAUCCAUGUUCCAUAGAAUCCAUCUAAAAGCUUGCUCACUGCGGACGGCAUUUGACGGCAAAUCAAUGAAAGAUCAUCCUCUCCAAAUAGCUGGACGGCAUCACCAUCUUUAUCUCACCAACCUACAGAGCUACAACGAUGUUGUAGAGAUCAACUAGGUAACCUACCAAUCACCCUCCCCUUUUCUAUAUGCUCUAAAGAACACGUGGAGUAAUUAUAGGCCUAUAGGAGCCGACUAACCUAGAUUAAUAUGAAAAAUAUUCCAAUAUUAAAAGCAAGCAGAUAGUAAUACUUGCCUUUGACCAUUUUUCUAGAACUGUUAUUCCUAUUGAAUGUUCAAGUGCUACGGCCAGGCAUCGAAUGCCUGCACGGAACCUUCCUAUUGAAUGGUUACUCUAGAGAUCAACGCACCGCGAGACAUUUUUAUGGAAUUUGUUUGAUUCCCCUUCUACAAUUAGAUUAAUUUUUCAUGGCAUAUAUUACUACUAUUAAAUUAUUUGUUUAUUGUCGGGCCUGCUGCAUGUGUGGUAUAUAUGACUUGCUUCUCACCAUUGUUCUCAAACUAUUAUUCCUAUCGAAUCUUUCUAUCGAAAUAUAUUUUAAUUACUUGAUUGUUGUUUGUGUACCAUAACUUCUGUAUAGAAAAAUUCCAUGUUUGUAGAUAAUGUCUUUUGUAUAGAAAAAUAGCCCAAUUAGAUCCAUCACCAUCUUUUGCUUAUGUAGUUGAACAAGUUGCAAUGUUGAACAAAACUUUAAGUGAAAUUAGACCAGGAAAAGGAAUUGUGGAACAUUAAGGCAAGGGUAACCAGAUUGUGGAAUGCAACCUUACUCAGUAGUGGCGAACAAUUAAGUCUUGACAUGAUCCUUAUUGAUCAAAAGGUAUGAUAGAUGUUCACUUUGAUUGCAUUAUUGGUAUAAUUUUUGGUUUACAAAUUAUUAAUGAUGAUGCAAAAUUAGGGAACCAUGAUCCACGGUGUUAUCAAUAAGCCCUAUAUGAAAAAGUUCAAACCAUUGAUUGAAGAAGGCAAUGUGUACAUAAUUGCAAAUGUCAGAAUCACACCAGAACCACAGAAGUAUCGGCCAGUGGAAAAUGACAGGAUAGUCAACUUCUUACCCACAACUGCACUAAAAACGAUCAAAGAUACUGAAGACAUUCCAAAGUAUAGUUUUAACUUCAUGAGCACGGAUAUGCUUUCAGCAAGAAUAAAUGUGGACAUGUACCUAUUAGGUAAAACAUUACUGGCUUUUCAAUUUUUACACUUCCACUCAUUAAAUGACCAUCUAAUAAUAAUACAUAUUUAUGUUUCAUAGAUGUUAUAGGUAUCUCAGCUCACAUUGGACCGAUAGAAGAAACAAGGACAAACUUCGGAUUUACUAAAAUCCGUGAUAUUGUGCUCCUGAUCGAGUAAUUCUCUUUUCUUUUGUAGAAAACAACUACAAAACUUUCAACAUUUACAUGUAUGUUAUAGAACUUCUGUUGAACUAAAAAAUAUCUUCUACAGUGCCCCUACAAAUAAUUAAUUUCGUAGUUGGAUAUUUAAAAUAUUUAUUAUUCACUUUUAAAUUUGUGGCCAUGAAGUUAAAGUUAGAUUUUGGGGAGACAAAGUUGAGGAAGUUGAUGAUAAGACAAAAUCCCAUGUCAUUGCAAUAACAUCUACAACUGUGAGUAAAUUUGGCAGUAAGUCUUCAUUCAAUAUGAGUUAUUCAAUAUUAGUCAUUCAACAAACUAACCUCGUAAGAAAAAUAAAUAAUUGAUGUUUUAUCAGGGUAUUCUCUAUCGUCAACCAAUGCAACAAAACUUUAUGUAGAUCUACCUAUUCCUGAAACUAAGGAUGCACAUGAUAGGUGAGAAAAAUUAGAUAUUGUUUUUCUAUUUUAAUCUAUGUAGCAUGCACUCUAACAUGAUACAUUCUUUCAUAUGAUAAAAAAAUGUUAGUUCAAUUGAAAAUAUUGUCAAAGAGAUUCAUAUUGAGGACCAUCUAAAAGGGACAUUGGAAGACCAAAUGCAGUACAAUAGAAGAACUUUAGAAGAAUUAAAUUUCAUAUUAUUUGAAACAUCAAAUCAGGUAUGGAUUAGUAUGUUCAUUGUACACUAUACUAUUUAAAGACUUACAUACAUAAUGAUGGUAUUGUUCCUACUUUCAGGAUGAGGUAUUUACUAUUGAAGCAACAAUAAAUGAAAUUAAUGCAACAUAUGGUUGGUUGUCACACCCGAUUUUAAGGACAAAAUUGAGUGCAUUAAAUACAUGUGCACCAGGAUCAAGUUACACACAUCCUAUGAGUACCGUCCUUCUUUGGCACAAAGAUAACCGGUGCUCCCCAUGGUGAUGAACUAGGCCGAAUAAACUAUUUUGCUGAUAAUUCCUCUAGUUGUUGUUUCAAUUCUUUUAAUUGUUCAACCAACAUUCUAUAAGGACGUUUGGAGAUAGGUGCAGUACCAGGUAAAAGAUCAAUAGCAAAUUCAAUGUCGCGGUCAGGUGGCAUACCUGGUAAAUCGUCGGGGAACACAUCCGGAUAGUCACACACCACUUUGAUAUCUUCCAAGGAUUUUCCAGCCAACUGAUUAACUGCACAAUCUGCUGCUGAGGGUAGAGUAGCUACAAACUCCACUUUCUCUCCAUCAGGACCUGUUAGCAGAACUGUCCUCUUGGCACACUGAAUCGUUGCAUCAAAAGCGGCUAACCACCUCAUCCCCAGAAUUACAUCGAUUCCACUGGACUCAAGGACGAUAAGAUCAGCCGGAAACUCUAUACCCAUUAUUCUCAGUUUAACUUGUGGACAGAUGUAUUGAGCCUUCAUUGACCCCCCAGGUGAACUCACUAGCAUAUGACGCCUCAUGGUAUGCAUGGGUAAAUUAUGCUUUGCUACAUAAUGACUAGUGACAAAAGAAUGCGAUGCUCCAGAGUCAAAUAAAACUGAUGCGGGGGCAGAGUUGACAAAGAACAUACCAAGCACUACAUCUGGAGCCUCCUUAGCAGUCUCGGCUUCCAUGUGGUUCACCUUGCCACAAACAAAGCUUUGCUGCCCCUGAUUGCCUUGUGGGGUCUGGUUCCCAUUCCUCGGUUGCUGCAUCUGAUUCUGCCGAGGAGCACUGCUGUUCUGCACGGGGGUAGCUGGCCCACCUCUCUUAGGACAAGAGCUGGCAUAGUGACCAACCUCGCCACACUUGAAGCAGGUAGGACCCACUGGAGCAUUGGGCCUUGUUGGAGUGCCAGUAGGGGUCAUCUGGCGGUUCUGCGUAAAGCUUGGGCGCGGAGUCUGCAUAGUCUGCAUCCCUGGAUGCUGGAACUGAGGGCUAGGGCGCUGGAAUGACUGCUGAGCAGGGCGCGGAAAUGAGUGCUGCCAAAAAUUCCCACUCGGGCCCCCUGCGCGGAACGGCGUCCCUUGCUGUGGAGCAAAGCGAGGGCGGGUGUUGCUUCCUGAAGACUACUGGGAAUUGAAUUUCCUCUUCAUCUCCCCGAGCUCGUUCCUCUUGUGUUCCAGGCCAAUUGCCUUGUCUAGCAUCUUCUGGAAACUGGGGAAGGUGUGCGACAUAAGCUGAUAUUGGAGUGGUCCAAUCAACCCAUCCAAGAAUAGCUCCUGCUUCUGCUCAUCAUCAGCAACAUCUUCGGGAGCAUAUCGGGACAACUGGACAAACUUGUCCCUGUACUCUGCCACUGUCAUGUUCCCCUGCUUGAGAGCAAGGAACUCCUUCUUCUUAAGCUUCAUCAAUCCGGAAGGAAUAUGAUGACUUCUGAAGCUAGUCCUGAAUUCAUCCCAGGUGAUGCCAUUAGCAUUGGCAUGGGUGGUGGUGUAAGCAUCCCACCAAUCAGCAGCUGGCCCUUCCAGGCGUCCUGAAGCAUACAGGACCUUCUCCCUGUCAGUACAUUGGGCGAUAUCCAGCAUCUUCUCCACUGUUUUCAGCCAAUCAUCAGCAUCUAAUGGAUCCGGAGAAUGUGAAAACGUCGGGGGCUUGUGGCUCAUGAACUCCCUAUGCCUGUCCCUUGGCGGCGGCUGCUGCUGGUUGUUGUUGUUGUUAUUGUUCAGCUGAGCUUGUAAAGCUGCCACGGUGUUGGUCAGUCCGGCGAGAAGCUGAGUCUGAGCUGCUAGAAACUGCUCCAUCCCUGCAGGUGCUUGUUGGUUCUGUUGCGGAGCGGUGUUGGGAUUGCUGCUGUUGUCCCUGUGGCGUGGCACUGUGGGACGGUCAACUCCUGAUCCGGACCUGGUGUUUACCAUCUGAGCGUUAGAGACAAUGGAUUUAGAUAGAUGUGUGAAAGAAUAACUGAGAAAGAUAAAGCGACCAGAUGUAAAAGUAACACAGAUUCUGUUAGCUCCAUUUAAUUAGGUGUGGUCGUCAGAAGAAGUGUCCAUAAAUUCUGAACAAUUACCAAGUCGUAACUUAUUAAAUUUGUAAACCAACCCAACUGGAAUCAUCUCAAUCGGACUUCUGGAUCUCGAGUUACAAAAUUAACAAGCUGACAGUGUCGGUCGAUAGGUUCAGAUUCUGAGUGCUUUACUAAUUCGCAUACACCUCCCAGACAGAUACACCAAAAAUUCUGAAAAAUUUACAGAUAGUACUCCACGAAAUUCUGAAACUAACCCCACUGGUUUCAUGUCAUUUGGACUUCUGUAGCUAGAGAUAUAAAUAAAAAAGUACUGGCGUGUCAGUUAAUGUCGAGAACAGAAUUGAAUGUCGCUUAGCUUGCGUGAUGGAUAGAUUUAGACAGAUGGUAGAUCAUGAUUAAGGAAGAUUAAAUACUGAUUUAGAACAGAAAUAAAACCCAACUAAGCACUUUAUUUAUUAAGACCAGUAUCGUGUGGCAAUUGCCCCACAUACCGCACUCAUUACAAAAUCCAACUCAAACAUGUAGCACAAAACCAAUCAUCUAAGCACACUUUAACUAACACACUCGAACGACGUCUAACGAUUACAAGAAUUUAAACUAAAACACUCCUAAUUUCCUAGAGGUCUUCUGCGGCGGUGCCGGGCGAGUCGUAGCGGGGACGCUUAGGCGACGGCGACGAAGCGGGAUGAACAGCAAACUCCUGCGGCGGCGGUGCUCCCGUCGCGGCAGCCAUAUUCGCAUCCCUCUCCCACCGGAGUUCCUGAACCUCCUGUUGAAGCUCCUGGAUGUGGUUGUUUGCUUCAUUCAAUGCGGUGAGAGCUGCCGACGUGUACUUGCGGAGGAAGUCUGUAGCCAUGUCAACCCCAUCGUUAGUAGCGAUGAAGGUUCUUGCUUCCCCACUAGCUCGGUAAGGAAGGAACCGAUGGUAAGUGUGCUGCAAUCGCGGCCGUUCCUUGUGGGAGACGACCUCAAGUGCCCUCCUGGCGGCCUCGGCAAUGCCGGAUUCCAUGGUCCUCCUUAUGGUCACAUCAUGGUGAAAAGCCUUCACCUCCCAUCCUCCCUCGUGCUCCUCACGAAGGACAACCUUCACCUCCCAAAAAGUGGGAUAGCGAGGGUGGGUGAACCGGGAGCACUUGUAGAGUGGCCUCAUGCCGUACCCCAAGCGGUGACAAGUCCACCUGAGUAUGUCGGCCAUGUGCACUCCUUGGCCAUAAUCUUCCUUCACCCAUUUGAUCCAUGUCUCGGGCUCGGGAUCUGCUUCGGGCUCAUCAUCCGUCAAGUCGACGACCGGUACGGGCGUCGGGGCUGGUGCAGGAGCGGGCGCCGGUGCUGGCGACGGUGCUGGUGACGGCGUGGUCUCCUGCUCCACGGUCACGGCGUCCCCGUCAGAGUCAUCCCCCGGAUGCUGGAAGAUCUCUUCCUCUUCUUCCUCGUCCCAAGGCUCCAUGGGGGCGUACGACGGCGCGAUGCCAUGACGCGGCGGACGGGUGCUCUUGCGUGCGGUCAACCGGGUGCGAGCCAUCUAACAGAAAGAAAGAAGAAAAUUUUAGAAUAAAAUUUUGAACAAAGCUAGAUAAUAAAAUAGCAAUAAGGAUGAGACAAAUCAAGUUUAAGAAUAAUUAAGUAGAUUUAAAUUAAGAAAGGUAGGAAUGGCUACUAGAUUAUUAUAAUCCUUAAAUACGACCAUUUUCUAACUAGGCUAACGUCCUACAGUCAACACGGCUCUGGUACCACUUUUGUCACACCCGAUUUUAAGGACAAAAUCGAGUGCAUUAAAUACAUGUGCGCCAGGAUCAAGUUACACACAUGUACGACAAUAGUGAAUAGUAAAGCCAGUGCUAAAUCGAAUAAAGAGAGUAUUAACCAUUAUUACAUGACCGAAUGUCUCAAAUAAACCACAAAGUCUAAUUAUUACGCAGCGGAACUCCAAAGAUGACGACGACUCCAUAGGCAGCUGACUGAAGAAACGUACGCCUAGAACUCCUCGAAGUCGUGGAAGUACUCCUCUUCCCAAUUAACUUGGUCUGAACAGCGGUUUUGCAAGGGUGAGUACACUUAUGGUUGGUACUCAACAAGUCGUGGGAAGUAGUGUAGUGUAAGGCUAAUUCAAGGUAUGGCUAAGGCGUAAAUAGCAUUCGCUUUUAAUUAAGUUGGUCAAAUUUUAUUAGCAUUUACUAAGUAUAAGUUCAUACCACCCGAAAUUAAACAUGAACAUAAAGUAAACCACAUGUGCAUGAAAUGAUAACAAAUUAAAUCCAUCUUCCGAUAAUAUUAUCAUGUGAGGGUCCAGGCCGCUCUUAACCGUGAGCACGGCUGAUUGAUCAGUUUAACACUCUGCAGAGGUGGCACAUCUUUACCCACAAGUCGCGUAAAAGUUCAAAAGAACUUUGGACCCAACCAUGCGGUGUUUGCAAGGCACCAUACCACACUUCCGAGGUGUGAUUGCAUAGGGACGCUACGAGGCCUUUACAAAGAUUCAUUAAUCAGUGGUAACCCGCUAAGGUUUCGGUGUCUGGCGUGCACCACCCAUCCCAGGUAAAAUGCAACGACUCAGUCCCCCCCCUUGAAUCAUCACGAGUAAGGUCACCCCAGACUAAGGUUUCUAAUUAAUCAGCCAAGACCAGAGCUAUUUAGUCUUGUGGUAGCACUGUUUUCCUGGGUGGUCGCUCCAUGUUCUGAUUAACAAAUAAUGAUCUUGUCUUAAUGAAAGGUAUAACAGAAAUAAGGCAAGAUUAAGCAUUGUUUUUAGUUAAACCACCAUGUACCAAGUAAGCACUAAGCAUGAGCUACCCAACAUAAAGUAAACCGGUUGGUCAAGGCAAAGGUAAAACAAUCUAGGCCAACCUUAAUUGGGACCCAUCAAUUUAAUCUUAAUAUGUGCACAGCAUAAAUGUUGAGUACGAGAAAGUAAAGGUGUAUAGGACAAAAAGGUAGUGAUCAAGGACACGACUUGCCUUCUUGGCCUUGCUCCUGCUGUUCGUACUCCUCGAAGGCUUGAUCGGCAACUCCCUCGAACUGCGGGGCGUCUACACGCAUCACACGAGCACAUACAAGCAAACAUGGGCAAAAGUAAGAAAACAGUAUACCAAACAUAGUCAAACAGAGAAAACAAGCUUGAAAAGAUGAUCUACGCUUUAAAACGAACACGCGGAUAUAAAGAACGCGAAAAACGGAGUUAAGAUGCAAAAGAUAUGAUUAAAACAAAAUCCAGGGACUUUUCUGUAAGAAAAACAAAACUUUUAGGGCCUAUCCGCGAAAACCGAGGGCUUAUACGUAAUUAUGCGUAUAAACCGAGGGUCUGAUGCGUAAAAACAUCAAACCCGGACGGCGGGUUGAUUUCUGGAAAGGUCAAGGGUUAAACCGAAAAAUGCGAGGGCAGAUCUGUAAAUACUUUCAACGCGAUCUGGACCGCGGGUUGAUUUGCGAAAAAGGCGGGGGCUAAAGUGCAAAAACUGCACGGCGCGGCUCGGUUGACCGGUACGCGAUCUUGAUUGACUCGCGUCCGGCCGUCGGAUUAAGAUCCGACGGUCGCGGUGAUCCGCGACAUCGCGGCGGCGGCGGCGAGCGGCGGCGAGCGGCGGCAAGCGGCGGCGGGUCGCCGGAGUUAGGCAAAAUAGCGCCACGAGGCACGGUUUAACGCGCGGGUUGCACCAAAAAAGAGAGGGGAACACGUCGAUCCCGUUUUGGGGGUUCUUGUCGACGGGGGCUCACCGGCGACGGCGAACGGCGGCGAGGAAGAGGCGGCGGCGCUAGGAGCUCGGGCGGCUAGGGUUUCGGGGAGCUGCGGCGCUGGUUUUGGGCGGAGGAGACUGGGAGGAGGCGGCGGCUUUUAUAGGGCUUGGAGAUAGAGCCGGCGCGGGUUCAAAUCCCCCGGAGGAGUCGGAGCGGAUGGAGUCCGGGGCGGAGACGGCGCGCGGCGGUUGCGGAGUUCUGACCGGAUUCGGCCGGAGGUGGGAGACGAUGGGUGGGGUCCACCCGUCAGUGGCGGAGGGGAGCGGUAGACGGGCCGGCGCGACCGUGGGCUGGCGCGCGCUCGUGGGCUGCGGGGAGCGGGAGAGAAGCGGCGAGCGGGCGCUGGCGGAGCAGGCCGAGCGGAGGUAGAGCUGGGCCGCGGAGAAAAAGGAGGAGGCCGGCGGGCUGCUUCGCAGGCCGGUAAGGAUGAGGCGGCCGGGCCGAAGAAGAAAAAGAAAAGGAGGGACAAGGAGCUUUCGGCCGAGGGAAAAGAAGAAGAAAAAGAAAAGGAAGAAGAAAAGGGAAAAGGUUUUGGAAUUUGAAUUUAAAUCUGAAAUUCAAAAUUUGAUUCAAACUCAAGCAACCAAAAAUUAUGCUCCAGCAUGAAUGCACAAAUAAUUCCUAUGAUGAAUUAAUUGAAUUAAAGAAAAUGAAUUUAAAUGCCUAGAAAUUAAAUAACACCCUAAUUUGAGCAAAUUUUAAUGAAUUUGAAUUAUUGAAAUUUUGGGUGUUACAUUGGUACUACAUCUCAUGUAGUAGAGGCGAUUGUAAGAAGCAACUUGAAAAGAAGUUUGAUCACUACUAUUGCAAUAAAUGUGACAAGAGAGCCGAACCUAAAGCCCAGUAAAUUAUUUAGUAGUUUACAAUCUUAUUAUAAUACUUCUAUUUCUAAUAGGAGAAUAAUAUUUUCAGAUUCAAAUUAAGCUUCAAAUAAGUGAUCCAACAACAAGUGCAACUUGUGUACUUUUGACAAGGAAGCAGAAAUGAUAAUUAAUGAAUGAGCAGAUUCGAUGAUCACCUCAGUUGAUCAUGAUAAUAAGUAGCUACCAAAAUCAAUUCAGGAAAUAUGUGAAGAAACAUUGAUUUCUCAAUUCAGAUUGACCGAGUACAACUUGACAAGUUUUAGACCUGAUUAUACUGUUUCAAAGAUAUUUUUUCCAAAAGAAAAGGGCAGUUCAAGAAUUGGUAUGGAAAGUGUAAAAAAGGUAACACUUUAUUAUUAAUUUUUUAUUGCACUUUUUUCUUUUGAAUCCGUAAUACUUAAUAAUUUUACUAUAUCAAUGAAACAAAUUCUAACCUAAAUUUAUUUUCUUUUUUAUUAUUUGUAGGAAGUAGAAGACAACUCAGACAAAUGCUACACGAUAACUACCGAGAAUGAAGAGGUAGACACUGAUGACUCUUUUACCGAGAAAGUAACAUUCGUAGAAGAAGCCAUAAGGACUGGGGAAAGAUUGGCUAGAAAAGUAUACUCACUUCCAUGUCAGUGUUCAUUCUAUUUACAAUACAUGCAAAAAAAAUAUUAUUCAUGCAAAAUUGCAGGUCUACUAAGCAUUAAAGGAAUAGCGGAUAGUGCAAUAUGUAAUCUGAGCAGCAUGCAUUACAAAGUGCUCUACUGCAAUUAAAUUAAAAAACAUGAUAUAUGUUGAAUUCUUAGACUUUAUUAUUAUACUUUUCUACGUGACAAUUCACAAUUUUUUAGAAAAAAGAAGAUCCCAGAAGAAGUGACCAUGAAAAAAGGUCUAUGACCAGCAAUAAGAAAAAAUGCAAGCAUAGAAACAAAUCCGUAGAAAACAUAGAAAAUAAGGUACUCCAUAAACAAAAGUAUUCUCUUAUAUUUUUAUUAAAUAUUUUUUUAACACUUGACAAGUUCUUUUUUAGGAUCAAUAUAUCAGCAAUUCAGAUGUCAUUGGAGAUGAAACCUUAGUUCAUCCAAAAGGUCAAAAAAAAACAUCUGAAGAAAGGUGUUUGGCUGAAAAGGAAAAGCAAAAAAGUGGUAAUGCAGACAAACACAUGCAGAAAAAUAUAAAAACAUGUCAUAGGGAGGCAGACCAAUCUUGCAAGGAGGUAUAGACGAAACGUGAUACACGACCUGCCUACCUUGUCGUGGAUACCCCAAGAAGAUGUCAUAGAGGUGCAGACCAAGCUAGCAAGGAGGUCGAAACGUGAUACACGGCCUGCCUACCUUGCCGUGGAUAUUAGCCCUGAGAUCAUUCUACUGUUCAAGGAAUAACACUCAAUGCUGCUGCUGCUGCUGACCUGGCUCCAUAAAGUUAUACUCCUCUAGGUGCUUGCACUAACUUUAUCUGAAGUAUUAUUCUCUCUGCACUGUAUAUAUGGUUAUGGAGUUUGCUGGAGUAUCCGGGGCGAAGAACCUACAUAAUACGUCUUGGAACUAAUUGACAUUGAUUCACAGACAAACUCUACAAGGUGCUGUUCUUGCCAUUUUAGAGCAUCCAAAGGACUAUAAAUAACAUAGUUUACCAUAUACCAUAUACCAUAUACCAUAAUAUGUUAGCUAAAAUAAGAGCAUACACAUGUUGCAGGAGUCCAAAAGCACCGGUUGAGGACCAGGUACAUUGAAUUACUAGAAAAAGACAGGGGACAAGGUUUAGGUAACCACAUGAAACAUUUGAAUUUAUUGUACUAUGAACACUUAGUUACCAUGCCAGGAGCACAUAGUUAACACUAACAUUUAGCCACUUUAGAUCAUCCCGAAUCACCAAUGACCCUCAAUAGUGACAAAUUUUGGUUUAAAUGCCAUCACCAAUGAUCCUCAAUAGUGACGUAUUUAGGUUUAAAUCCCGUCACUAAUAACCCUCAAUAGUGACCUGUUUUGGUUUAAAUCUCAUUACCACUGAUCCUCAAUAGUGAUGUGUUUUAGCAAAACAUGUUAUCAAUGACUUGUCAUUGGUGACGUGUUAAAACGCGUUAUCUCAAUGGCAAAUCAUUGGUGACGUGUUAUCUCAAUGUUAUCAAUGUUCUAUUCUUUUCAACAAUACCAGCUCGUUCCUCCGUUUUUAUUCCACCAAUACAAGCACCACCUUGUAACAUUUCCUAUGUUUUUUUUCCUUUUGUCUGUUUUCUCACUACAUGCGUUGCUCUUUCAUGCAUUUUUUUCCAUUCCUGUAUUCCAAAUAGGUCUACAUGAACACAAAAUGAACUAGGGGACAGAAAAAGCCAGUGAAGCCAAUUUUGAGCUUCACCAGCUACUUGCUACAUAAAGUGUGCUAUAGUGACGUGUUUUAGCAAAACAUGUUAUCAAUGACUUGUCAUUGGUGACGUGUUAAAACGCGUUAUCUCACUGGCAAAUCAUUGGUGACGUGUUUUAAAAAAACAUGUCACCGUGAGAGUCAUUGGUGAAGGGUAAUUAAAAUGCGUCACUAAUGUUGUAGCAUUAGUUAUGAUAAUUUAGUAACGCAAAAAUCUACCAUCAGUAUUGAGCUUUAGAGCCAUCGCUAAUGUGGGUUUCUUACAUAGUGAUGCAAGCUCUACAAGGUGCUGUUGCUGCCAUUUUAAAGCAUCCCAUGACUACAUGUUAAUAACAUAGUUUACCAUAUAUCAUAAAAAUAUUAGUUACAAUAAGCACAUACGCAUGUGGAAGAGUCCGAAUGCACCGGUUGAGGACUAAACACAUUGAAUUACUAGAACCAAAUGUAUGUUUAGAACAAAGACAGGGGUCAAGGUUUGGGUAACCGCAUUAAAAACAUUGGAUUUUACUGUACAUGAACACUUAGUUACCAUUACCAUGCCUUGAGCACCUAGUUACAACAAACAUUAAUUUAGCCACUUUAGAGCUUCCAGAAUCGCUAUAAAUAAUAUACCUACGCCGUACCAUGAAAACAUCAAGAAGAGAGACGGAUACAUGGACCACCAUCAAGCGAGUAGUGACAGCACGCACAAGAAUACCCGGAACCUGUUAGCUUGUCUGUAGUGAUCUGUUUUCUUCCCCAUAAAAUCCAUGAGUAUUGCCACAAAUAAUGAAAGAGGCUGACCAAGCUAGCAAGGAGGUAGAGCAAACGUGAUACACGGCCUGCCAAGAUUGCCCUGGAUACGCCAAUAAGAGCGACAGAUACAUGGAUCACACCAAUAUGGUGAAACGUAUAUUCAUCACACAAGCAAAGCUGGUCAGUUUAUCCAUGGUCAAAUUGUGGUCUUUGUUUUCACUUGAGAGCUAAUUGAGGCACUAUAAUAUGGGCAGGCCUAUCUUCAACAGACAUGACAGCUACAGGGAACUUGACAUAAUUUGCUGGGCCGCCUGUGCACAAUUAUUUGUUUUAUUGUCCUUGCAUAGAAUGCUAAAAUACUCUUUACAAAAUGUUGGAUCUAAUAUUUGAAAUAUAGAGUAGUAAUCAUAUAUUGAUCAACAACUUGAAAUUAUCUGUACAUUCUCGGUGAAGCUGUUGAACUAAUUUUUGCAAAUUAUUAAUUCAUCUCAUUACGUAAAGAAAAAAGUAAGUGGAUAAGAUAUUUCGUGGACCACAUCACUGCAAACAUGUCAUGGAGAGACAGACCAAGGAGGCAGGACGUGAUACACGACUUACCCUAGGUUGCCGUGGAACCGCCAAGAAGAGAUACAGAUACAUGGACCACACCAUCUUGGGAGUAGUGACAGCAUAUAUGCAGAAGAAUACCCCGUGCCUAUUUGCAUGCAUGUCUCAAGUGAUCUGUUUUCUUCAGAAAAUACAUGAGCAUUGCCAGAAAGAAUGGCAAGAGACAAACAUGUCAUAGAGACUUGCAUGUCUUGCCUUGGAUACGCCAAGAAGAGGGACACAUACAUGGAUAACACAAAUCUAGUGACACGUAUAUUCAUCACAAAGGCAAAUCUGAUAAUUUUAUCCAUGGAGCAGACCAAGGAGAAAUUGAUGACGGACAUGUGAUCUCUGUAUUCAGUUGAAAGCUAAUUGAGCUACACUAAUAUGAGCAGGACUAUAUUCAAGAGACUUGUUGAGAGCUACAGGGAACUUGUAAUAAUUUGCUGGGCGGCCUGCGCACAAUGAUUUGUUAUACAUAGUUGAAAUAUUUCAAGAAUUUAUCAACCUCAUACUCUGAAACCCUUGGUGCAAUGUACUCUGCUUUCCGAGGUAGACUGUUCACGUAAAAUGAGGUCAUGCGUAAGACGGAAUCGGAUUGGAUUCACAGGGAAUCAGAUUUGGAUAGCACCUUUUAGCAGGUUUUUAGUCAAAUGCAAAUUCGGAUCCACAUGUGGUUGAAUGCGAGUUCAAAAUUCUACUUGGAUAUCCAUUUAAUUUAGGUGAUAGCAAUUAGCACAAAAUGUUGGAUGAACAAAAUCAUAGUUAGACAUACAAUUACAUGUAUGGUUAAAGUAUAAUACAAUACACCAAGAUUAUUCCUUGAAAAUAUUUCUUAAAAAUAUUAUAAUAAAUGAAUAAAUAUAAUUGUGGCCACCAACAAAUAGUCGGUGGUCGCUAAGUUGGAGCCAUUUCUGGUUACUAAUGCGGCCUUCUCCUCGACCAGCGACGACAGCUGAGCUUGUUCCUUCUGACACUAAAUCAUCAGAGUCUUCCCUCCACUACUAUAGAAUGCACCUUUAGCACCAAUUGGGAAAUCCCCUUCAGUAUUGGAUGCUGCAACCAGUGCUAUAUAUCAAAAUGGAGACUAAAAGCCUCGGUCUUGGGUACCGGUUGCAUAACGCAUUACUAAAGGAGGCAAAAGAGAAAUGUAACAAAAAAAAUAUUUUGAAUUCCAAGAAUGUUUCACUAUUCAAGAUGACUAGCUGAGAGUCAACAGACAAGAUACUAGGAAUGUGGGUGCUUGAAUGCAUUUGUACAGAGGUCAUACUAUUUACAAACUCUUCUAUGUUUCCAUAUGACUACCUACUUCAAUGUCACGCGAGCCAUUCAGCUGGACACAUGGCACACUAGCUUGCAUGUCGAAUCCAUGAUUAAUUAUUUGCACUUGUGAUCUCUUACCAGUAUUUGUCCAGACUAGAAACGUGCAACACAUUUUUAGGAUAUGGACACGCAUAUAUUUGGACUAGUAUACAGGUCACCUUUGGAUGCGUACAAGGAUGACCGGGAGGGACUAAUGGAUACAAGGAAGGGACCAUCAGGAUUAAUAUUGACAUAUGCCACAUGACAAUCUUCAUUGUCAUGCAAUCCCUAUCAACAAUCAUGGAAUCCCUAGUGUACUAAUCCCUGGAGGGUUGUGUGGAAAUUUAUUUUACCUUGCGGUGAAAAUCUCAUGAGCAGUCAUUAGUUAAGCUGACUAGCUGAGAUAUAAUAGACAAGCUAGUAAGAUUGGGAGCAUCAAUGCAUCCAUACAGGGUCACAAUAUCCUUUCCAUUCACUUUUAUAUAUAACCCUACGAAUACAAGUCCAACGAAAUGCGGGCCUUUCGAUCAAGAUAAAUUAAAUGGCCCACUUGUAUUUCUAAUCCAGGAUUAACUAUGCCCUCUGUUCAUCUCUUGCAAGCACGUGCAACACAUUUUCACGAUAUGGACAUGCAUGGAGGUUAUUAUACUGUUUGGACAAACUCUGAUGUGCCAUGACCUAAAUGCUUAGGGCCUGUUUGGUUUGAGUUGCUUAUUAUAAGCAACUUAAAGUUGCUUAAAGUUGCUUAUUUGAAGUUGCUUAUUUUUAGUCUAAACUGUUUGGAUACCCUUGCUUAUGAGCAUUGAAUGAGUUGGACAUUGUCAAAUUUGCCCCAUGUGUUGCUACCCCUCCAAUUUGCCUCCCCACCCUUCUUCUUCCUGCACACGUCCGAUCCCGGGGGCCGACGGCGGGCAGGGAGCAGCAGCAGCUGGCCAGGGCGGCGGUGGGGCGGGAGCGGCGGCGCACACCAGCACGCGCUCGCACGCCAGGUGCUAGGGCGCGGCGAGGCAGUCGUCGUAGCCCACCGGGAGCGGGUGCUCGGGCGCGAGGCGGUACUCGACGGAGAUGCCGAGCGUCGGGCGCGCGGCGGCGAGCGCGUUGAGGAAGCGAUGGUAGUGCGGCGACGUCGCGGACUCCGCCACGAAGCCGCCGCCGUGGACGUACACCACCACGGGCAGCUUCGUCUUGCCGUCGGCGGCCGCGGCCGCGGCCUGGGGUGGCAGGUAGAGGCGGACGGAGCAGGAGCCGAGGUCGACGUCCCUGGAGUCGACGCCCGUGGCGGCGUCCAGGCUGGGCCCGACCGGCGGCGGCACGAGCGGGCGCUCGAUGCGGCCGCUCUUGUAAAUCCGACGGGUCUGUGCGGAGGCGGGCGGCGGGCGGGAGCGGCGGGUGGGAGCGGCGGCAGGUGGUGCGGAGGCCGGCGGCGGCGGGUGGCGCGGAGGAAGGGGAGCUGGUGAGUGGUGACAGGGGAGGGGGGGAGAGAGAGGGGGGGUAGGGUGCAUUGAAUGAGGGCAGGAGGUGUAAAGUGCACCUUUUAGUCCCCAUGAGCAACCAUAAGCAGCCCAAGAGUUGCUUAUUUGCUUAUAAUAAGCAACCUCAUAAGCAAGAGUGAUUGGUUUCAUAAGCAACUUAUUUGCUUAUUUUAAGUUGCUUAUGCAUAAGCAUGUGAAACCAAGCAGGUCCUUAACCUAUGGUUGUGGCACCACACAGUACAUAGUAUUUAAUAAUGCUAUUCGUUUGGUAUGUGCACAAGGGCACGCAUGAAAUGUCUGGCCCACGGUAAACAAGUACGGACGCUGCAAAUAAUCUACUCUGCUCGUCCAGUCCCUAGCCUAUAAAUAGAUGCCAUGCUAGCUCUUGUUGUGCUCACAAUUAAUCCUGACUACACACGAGCUUCUCUCCCUGGCCAAGACACAAUCAUAGUAUGAUGAAGAACAUGGCACUAGCCGGCAAUGGUAUGAAGAACUUAAUCCUCGCUGUUCUCUUACUGUGUCUAGUUAUAGGGCAGAUACAAGUGGAAGCUAAGAGCUGCUGCCCAUCCAUUACUGCAAGAAAUAUCUACAAUGCCUGCCGUAUCACGGGUACAUCCCGUCCAACGUGUGCAAAACUGUCAGGCUGCAAAAUUAUCAGCGGGGACAAAUGCAAGCCCCCUAACGACCACCUCACCCUUGACCCGGACACUGGUAAAUAAUAAAUUUAUCUCACUUGAUUUCUUCGUGUUUUGAGUCGUUAAUGUAUUUUCCAUCUGAUGAAACGUAUUGGUUUUGCAUUGAAGAGGAAGUUAAUGUGCUUAACUUCUGCAAGUUGGGGUGUGCGUCGUCUGUGUGCAACAACAUCAACGCUGGUAAGCACCUUUUGCUCAGACGGAGAAAACAAUAAUCAUUAAUUAGCGGCAGCUAGAAUCCUAUAAUCUAAUAUAUUUAUAUAUAUAUAUAAUUUUAUCAGCUCUGGGAAAUGAAGAGGCGAACGAUGCCGUUGAGAGUUGCGACCAAGCCUGCUCUAGCUUCUGCAACGUGCACGUUGGCGCUGCCACCGUGGUUGCUUAAGCAAAUGCAUCCAACUGGAUCGUCCUUGUGCUAAAUAAUUGGAUAUCGUAUCCACUUAAAGCUGCCUUGUGUAGUACGUUUUUGUUUGUGUCUCUCUUUAUAUUCCAAUAAGGUCGGUGAUCUUGAUGCCACACACUCAGACGUGUGUUCAUCUCCAGAUACUACUCCAUGCUACCUGCCCUUUGUGUUUUGUUCAAUAACUGGGUAUCAUAUCCCAGCCAGUGUGCCAUCUGUUUUGUGUUUAUUUCCUUCUAGUUUCAAAGGGGUUAUCAU